UGAGUUAGAGUAAACUGUCAAGACUUAAAAUUUACUUACUUUACCUUCACCAUGGGACUUGUAACUGUCACUUCUAUCUUGAGUGGUUAAAAGAUAGAACAGUCUAGCCAAGUGCCAUGUCUCUUAUUCUUGAUCAGCUAUAGCUCUGGGGUUUUUUGCAGAUUUUCAAAUAAAACUCAGAAAUUCCUUGUAUGAUUCUCUCAGGUAUUUUGUGGUAUUUUUAGAUCCUUACCAAGGCAUUGAUGGUAUAUGCCUUCUCUCAAGAUAUGUAGUAUUUGUGGUAUGAGGCAUAGUGACAUUACCUUCUCUCUCACCCUACUCUAAUAAGGCUUUAAUAUCUGGAGCUCAUAGGUGGGAGAUAAAGUAUACAUACUUACAAGACAUUUAUUGCAUAGUCAAACCAUGGAUCCAAAGAAACAAAUCAAUAAGCCAAAUCAAGAUGUGCAUGUGUGGUGAAUGAAUGGUGUAUGGUGAUGAUGGUGAUAACAAUGGUGAAAACAAUGGUGGUGGAAGUCUAAUUCUACUUUUGCUCUUUUGAGGGGAUACAUACCUUCCUUGCUUUUGAAACUUUAUGUGGAGAAUGAGAUGCUCUUCUUCUUCUUUCUUUUUUUUUUCUUUUGUCUCUCAGGUGGGUAUCUUGCACCCCUAAUUCUACUGUCGGACACUUGUCCAUUUUUACCUCUCGUCCCACUUUUUCUUUUCUUUCGAGGUUCCGAGCACUUGCUCCUUUUUAUUUCCUCGUAUAUAUAUAUAUAUUUUUAGAGAACUCAUCUCUUGAGAUAAUAUAGCAAGUGGUAGUAACAAGAUAACUUGAGCAUUUAUUUCACAAGGGGAAAAUAGAAAUAUUUUUGGUUAUUCUCUCCCGAAUUAGGAGUAGAAUAUUUUUAGGUGAUUCUGGAGAUAGAAAUGGAUGGAUAUAUGUGGAUGGUACUUCUGGAGUAGAAGUAGCAUAUAUAUGAGUGAACGUGCAAGUGAAUCUUGAUUUAACCACAUGACAAGCUCCUAAGGGUCUACACAGCUUGACCACACUCAAUGCUCAUAAGCAGUAAAUAUUAAAUGUGUGACUCAAAGUCUAGCAAGCAUGUAUAUAUGGCUGUGGUAGGAAUUUAAACUCUCAUCAUAUAGGAACUCAUCAUGCAAUAUUUUAAAGAUUUUCAAAGAUAAAAUUCUCCAGAAUUCUAGCAUCUCUAGGAACAGAUAAACAGCAGCUCAACCUUCCCAUAUCGUAUCCGUUAACAACUUAGACUUCAGAUCAAAUUUUCAUCCCACAAGUUUAGGUCUAGGGUAAGCUUUAAAUUAUAACAGUUAUAUCUAAACUUGAGAGAGAACUUAAAAUUUGCAAAUUAGGCAGAGCAACUAUCAUAUCCAUGCUUAAGUUUUAUUUAGAUACAGAUUAGCAUAGACACUUUAUUUAUUUAUUAAACACACUAAGCAAAAGACAUAUAUAUAUAAGCAUAAAAUCUUUAUUUGGUUUUCCAUAGUUUAAUAAUAUAAGUAUAAAGAUAGAUAGAAAACUUAUCGAGAUAAAUGGGGGUGCUCUCCCCCAAGCUGAAUUUUGACGUAAUUUCUCUUGAUGUAGCUAGCAGGUGGCAGAGGUGUAUUUGAAAGUCAGCAGCAUUCUGACAGCGAUUAGAAUGUCCUCCGUCUGCCAGUCUUCUUGAUUCUUAAAUUUCUGUGGAGCUCAAAUAGACAACAAAGCUUGUGGAACUGAUUAAGUGUUAGCAUAAAUAUCUAGCCUUUAUUAUGUUGAGACUCCUUAAUAAAUGUUACUCCCUGUUUUUAUAUUUUUGUUUUAUAAAGCAGAAAAAUAUUUAUUUUAUUUUUAUGCCACCACAGUGAAUGUACUUAUGGGUUUUAUGCCACUCGUCUACUCACAUGGGGCUUAUAGUUUUUAACAUUUUUAUUUUCUUUUUAAGAUAGUGUGAAUAUGGUUAACUAAGUAAACUAUUUGAAAUAACUGAAAGGGAAAGGGUAACUACCAAGUCUACCUCUUGGCAAAGCGUUCGGUGUUUUUAAGUCCUCCGAACGGGACUCUCCAAUUUCUUAAUCGUCCUGAGGUUCGUUGGGUGGCGUAGUCGGUACUUCCGGCAGCGCCUCCUCUUCUUGUAUAGUUAUCUUCAUUUUCCAUACCUGACUCGGUGCUUCAAUCUCCUCUGGAUAAUUCUGUUUAAAUUCAACGUCUUCUGACCUUACAACUUCUCCUUCAUAGUCUGCCCAUCCGUCCUUGAUGAUCUGCCUCCUCUGGUUGUGGUUGCGUCUCUUUCUGACCUGCUUAGAUUCUUCAACGAUAUAGUCAGGGUCAGUAAAAUAACGGCGUACCUUCUCUGAGGGGAAGUGCAUAUGGACUUCUCCGGUUCCAAUGUAGAUGAUUGCUUUAACAGUGCUGAGGAACGGUCUUCCAAGGAUGAUGGGUGGAUCGUACUCAUCUUCUCCCAUGUCAACAACUUGAAAGUCUGUGUAGACAAAGUGAUCGUCUAUUUUGACUGGGACAUCAGUUACUAUUCCUUUAACUUCUCGAAAUGUCUAAUCUGCCAUCUGGAGCUGAAUGUAUGUUGGUCUUAGUGGCAUGGUCCCGAACAAGAGCUGAUAGGUGACUGCGGCCAUUAUGUUGACGCCCGAUCCGGUGUCGCAAAUCGUCUUGUAGAAGUUAUAUCCAUUUAUGGAGCAGUAGAUGCUUGGCAUUCCUGGGUUGUCCUUCUUGGUCAAAAACGGUGACUUAAGUUGGUGAUCUUGGCCUCCAUGGGCUACAGUGACCAUCUUAGCUGACUCGGUCCACACUUGCUUGUUCCUGUUUCUCCUGUUGGUCCUCUUCCUUGAUUCACGUCUGGAUUGAUCUUGAAUUUGUGUAGUCUUGUUCUUGAAGAAAAAUGUCUCCUUCUUCCCUUUGACGUAGAAACUGAUCUUGGCAGCACUGGCGUAGAUGAUAGCUCCCGUGGUGUUCAGAAAUGGCCUCCCUAGGAUGAUAGGUGCUCUCUCAUCAUUUCCGGUCUCUACCACUACGAAGUCUGCUGGGGCAUACAAGGUACCAACUCGGACACAAGGGUUCCUCACUAUUCCUUUUGGGAAAGUUAUCGUCUGAUCUGCAAACUGCAAACACAUGGUUGUCUCUAAUAAAGGAUAUGUAAAGAAUUUCUCAUAGAGUACCCUGGGUAUAAUGUUGACACUGGAGCCAAAGUCGCAGAGUGCUUCUGGGAUAUCCACCAUGCCGAUAGAGAUCGGGAUGACGGGGCGUCCUGGAUCGCCUCUCUUGACCGAUAGAAGGUCAGUAGAGAACUCAUUGACGGGGUUACUCCAAUUACCUGCAUCAAACACGUCUACAAGAUUUGCAGAUUCUAAUCCUUCCGGUUGUGAUGGUAUACCGGGGUUAGUAGUAGGAACAACAGCAGCUAUUUGAUUUAACUGAGAUUCAAUCAUUUUAUUAAAGCUAAUUUGAUUCUUGAUGGCAGUAGAGAAAUUAUCCAUUCUAUUAUUUAUAUUUUCUAGCAUUUUAUCAUUAGAUGCCAAUUUCUUAGAUAGGUUAUCCAUUAGCUUUCCUUGAUUAGAUACUAACUCUCUCAAAGGUGGAAAAUUAUUGUUAUUGUUGUAAGAAUUGUUACCUUGAUAAUUACCUGAGUAGUUAGGCCUCUGUUGAUUCCAACCUUGAUUUUGUUGAGGAUGGUUGUAGUAGUAGUUGUUGUUGUUGUUGAUGUAGUUCACAUCCUCAAGUAUCUUAGGGCAGUGAUUGCCUGAGUGUCUAGUGUCUCCACACUCCUCACAAGUCAUGUGAGAGUCGUAGAUGUGCAUAACUUCUUUCUUGUCUCCAGCUCUAUCAUCGAGCUUCUUCAUGAGCAGGUCUAGCUUUGCAGACAGCAUGUCCACCUCUUUCAGCUGAUGCAUACCUCCACCUCUCUUGCGUGUCUGGCUCCUCUCUUCAUUCCAGCUUUGAUUGGACGCCAUCUUCUCCAUAAGAGCUGUGGCUUGUGGUAUAGUAAGUGAUAAGAAUGCUCCUCCAGCUGCAGCAUCCAUGGUCUCUCGGGCACUGUUGCUGAGCCCAUGAUAAAAUGUCUGCAUCAAUAGCCAACUCUCCAUUCCAUGAUGGGGACAUUCUAGGAUGUAGUCUUGAAAGCGCUCCCAUGCUUCUGGAACAGAUUCAUCAUUUUGUUGCUGAAAACUCGUAAUCUUCCCAUGGAGAGCAUUGGUCUUGCCCAUGGGAAAGAACUUAGCUAGGAAGUUUGUUGAGCAGAGUGCCCACGUAGUAUUCUUCUCCUUUGUAGCGUAGAACCACUGCUUCGCUCUUCCUAAUAGUGAGAAUGGGAAGAAGCGAAGUAGUAUAGCGUCUUUGGAAACUCCUGCUAAUGGUGAAUGUGUUGCAAAUCUCCAGGAAGUGUUGUAAAUGAGCACUAGCAUCUUCGUGUGCCUUCCCACAGAACUGGUUGGAUUGCACCAUGUUAAUAAGUCCAGGCUUGAGCUCAAAGUUGCCGUCGAUCUCUGCAGCAGGUCCAGUGCGGAUGUUAUCCGUAGUGGGAGCUGAGAACUCGCGGAUCGAUUUGUUCGCCAUGGCUUCGAACUCUGAAGACAAGUUCCGGUGAUCUUCUUGAUUGGAUGAAGCUUCUUGCUGAAGUGUUGAUGAUUUCUUUAGCUUGGCUCUCGUCUUCUUGAAUAAUGCUUCGGGAUUGUCAACAAAAUUUCCUAGAAGAUGUCUUCUAUUCAUACAUUCCCCUGCAUAAGAUAAAAUAGAAAAAUAUCAGGGUAAAACUGUAUGAGAGAAUAGAUAAGCUCAAUCAUAUUAGUGAUGCGAAUGAUAACUCAAAAUCCUUUAUUCCAUUCCUGAUUAGUAAUCAACCUUCCCCGGCAACGGCGCCAAAAAUGCUUGUUGGGUAUUCUUAACAUCAUUACUAAAAGUAGACUAAGUUCUAAAUCUAGCAACGGUGCCAAAAAUGCCAAAUCUAUCCCUCACACCACUUAAGCCAAGUUGUCAUCCCCAGCAUGACAUGAGAGACGCGGUAUUGAAAUAUGCAAUUGCUCUUCUAAAUAAAUAAUGAAUGGGAUCUGCAAGCGCACAGAUUAAUACCGAUGCAGCAUUUUAACCGGGAAGUAUUCCAGGUAUCGUCAUUUAUAUUUUUACCACUGGGAAGGGAUUAGCAAUUAUCAAUAUUGAUUACAGAAUAUAAUAUGAGAUUGAGCAUAUAUCAUUGCAUGUAUAAUUGAGAACAUUAUAUCUAACUCUUCAUACAGAGAUAAGUGUCACAUAAAAGAUAUAUGAAAUAAUAAUAGUGACAAAGAUAAUUAAUCUAAUCUAGCCACAUAAUAAAUAUGAUAAGCACCUCAAUUAGAUACUCUAGAAAGUCAUUAGCAUGGUAUUAGAACGAACUACAAGAAUAUUCCCUAAGUUAUUCUCAACUAUAUAGUCUAGCAUUAUCAUAGUUAGUGCAAGCAUACUUAGCAAUCAUUGCGAGACAAGACUACGCCCAUGCAUAGUGAUAUUAGCAAGGAAUAUAAGAAACAUAGCAAUCACUCCCCUGUAAUAAUGUUGCUCUGCCAGCCCAAUACACGAGAGGGGGACUAUAUAAGAAUCAAUGAAGCUGUCACUAUCACGAACCACCCCACGAUCUGGCAUAUUGGGUACAAUCGCAGAUAAAUACGGUAUAAGCACCACGCCUACACAAUAUCUAUCAUUUACCCAUGGAUCCGAUGGAUAAACGCUAUACGAUCCUAAGCAUGUAUAUAGAUCGUAUCUAACUAAGCCAAGUACAUAACUAUGAUAAACUAAGAACAAUAUAAUCUUGAAUAUAAACAAGUAGAGCAAAGUCAUAAGCAAUAUAUUGAAGUAGAACAAAGUCAUAUUCAUAAUAUUGAAGAACAAAGAUAAUUAGAAAGUAAUUAGAAGCACAAUUAGAGAAUUACCAAGAAUCCUCUUGACAGAUCCGGAAACCAAUCGAAGAUUGACUCCUUCUAGUUCUAAUCCUAUGUAGCUAUGCUAAUCUAGAUAUCUAAUUGAUGUGGUGGCUCUAAUCUUGAUCAGAGGCUUCUUCUCCCUUGAUGGAACAAUGAAUUAGGGUUGAGAGGCUCUCUCCUCCAGGGGCCAGGGGGUCUGGUUUUAUAGUCCCUCUAAGUGAAUAUGGGCCCUUGGAUCAAACCGACAUAGAUUGUAUGGUUUAGAUUCAUCCUUUAGGUCGGUGGAGAUCUCCCGCAAAGCAGAGUCCUGAUUGGACACAGGGGCAGGGCGGGCGCCCAGUAGGACAGGGCGGGCGCCCUGUCUCUGGCCCCGUUUCGCCUCCGCUUCGGUCUCGUGGCUUCUGGAGUCUUCUAGAUGUAAGAUAAUUGCGCAGCACGUUAAUAUCUUUACGUAAUCCUGACAUGUGGGCCUUUCUUCCAUAUUUCCUGAUAACCCCCUGCAGAAAUAGACAAACACCAAAACUCGUGGAAUUCUGUCAGAUAAAACCCUAAGUCUAGAUCUUGAUUUCAUUUGGAUCCUUUUCUUUAUUUAUUUGAUAAUUAAAUUUGAUACUUAAGGACCGUCAACAGGUAUGUGACAAGAUUGAGAUUGUCCCAGGAGAUUCUUCUUAUGUCAUUGCAUCGGCAGAAGCAGAUACCUAUGAGAGGACUAGCUGUAUAUUGGGAGAAGUUUGGGAGAAGGAGUUCCUCAAAGUCGCCGAUUAUGAAAUUCCACCGAUCCAAGCAGUCGGUUCUGAUGAAGGUUUUUAAUGGAUAGGUUCGCCGAUGAUGGAAAAUUGGGCCUGGGAUUCACAUCGGCCGAUGAUUUGGUAGAAGUAGAUAUAGGUAGUGGUGAUAAGCCUAGACCUACUUUCAUUAGUGCUAAGUUAAAUUCUGAGUGUAAGCAACAAUUAACUGAUUUGUUAAAGGAAUAUAAAGAUUGCUUUGCUUGGGAUUAUACUGAAAUGCCUGGUUUGGACCGAUCAAUUGUUGAACAUCGGUUGCCUAUCAAGUCUGGAUUUCGGCCACAUCAACAGCCAGCUCGCCGAUGUAAUCGUAAUAUUCUUCCUGAUAUUAAGGCCAAAAUAACCAAACUUAUUGAAGCUAAAUUUAUUCGGCGGUGUCGGUAUACCGAGUGGAUUUCCACUGUUGUUCCGGUUUACAAGAAAAAUGGGAAGCUUCGGGUCUGCAUUGAUUUCAGAAAUCUUAAUAAGGCUACAACGAUGGAUGGCUACCCAAUGCCAGUUGCCGAUCUACUAGUUGAUGCUGCGGCUGGGCAUCGGAUCAUCAGCUUUAUGGAUGGCAAUAUAGGAAACAAUCAGAUAUUUAAGGCUGAAGAGGAUAUUCCAAAGACUGCAUUUAGAUGUCCUGGUCAUGUUGGGUUGUUUGAAUGGAUAGUCAUGACCUUUGGCUUGAAAAAUGCUGGUGCUACUUAUCAGAGGGCUAUGAAUUUUAUAUUUCAUGAGUUCAUCGGCAAGCUGGUGGAAAUUUAUAUUGAUGAUGUGGUAGUUAAGAGUAAAGAUCCUUUCUUCUCAAUCCUAUCACUUGGAGUUUUUGUAUAUUUUUGAAAGAAAGUUAGCAUACCUUUUAUCCUCAUAGGUUCUCUCAGAUCACUCAUUAUCUUUUAUAUAUCUCACUGAGGUUGUUUUAAUUUGCAAAAAUUCUCAAGCAUACUUACUUUGUAUUUAUUGCCUGAUCGAAAUGGGAUCCGAGGAGGGGAAUGUCAUACUCUUAGAUCAAAGACUUCGGAAAUUAAAAUCUUUGUCAACUCUUGCUGGCAUAUUGCUUAUUAGAGGGACCAUGGGCUAUCAUUUUCUUUCUCUCUCUUUUUUUUAAGUGGAUACCGAGGUACCCCUAAUUCUAGUGCCGGACACUUGUCAAUUUUUUUCUGCGAGGUUGUCGAGCACUUGCUCCUUUUUAUUUCCUCGAAAUAUCUUUAUUUUUGCAUAGCCCAUGCCUCUAAUGCAAUAAUACUUCGGAAAAGUGAAUCUUUCUAAAUAAAUGUCUUGAUCUUAGGAGCAUGAUAAAUCUCUCAACAAGGGUCUAACUCAUUUUGAACAAACAUAAUACAGAGUAGAUAGCUUUUAUAAUCAUAAUUAAUAUUUUUAGCUUUAUCAGGCAUAUAAAACACUGAGGAUGCUAGCUAGAAUAAAUUUUGAAAUAAAUUCUCCAAGCAAUAACGAUAUCAAGAAUAAGAAACUCAUACUCUACCAUCUCACAUUUCAUACUGUCUUAAGUAACACAGGUUUUUUUUAAAAAAAUGAUUUUAUAAUAGUUACAAGUUUCAGGAAAUAUCACAGAAUGAGAUUAAUCAUGAUUAGAAAUAUUUUAAUCUUUUUAAUUUAUCAUGUUGGAAACAGUAUUCUGCAUAAUCCAAGAUAUGUGUAUGUGUAAAGUAUGCAGAGUGUGUACCUGAAUCAUGGAGUGGUGUAGUCGAAGUGUGUUUGGCGCGUCGAGGGAUCUCCCCCAUACUUGUUUUCUGCUUUAUUGCACAAAAAUAAAGUAGACACACACAAGACAUAAUAAUAAUAAUACUCUUUAUUAACCUUGAGGCAUUUAUUACAAAAGACUAGUAGUAAACUGAUAGUAAACUAAUGAUAAUAGUAAACCUAAACCGAAUUUAAAGAUAGAUAACUAAGAUGCAUUUGCCUUAAGGUCUAAUCUAAAUAACUUAGCGGCGCUCUAAUACCUUAAUCUUCUUGUUGGCACUGGCAAGAUCAUGCCAAAGGCCUAGUAUAACAGUGUUGUGGUUAGAGAGCUGCCUAGUGAGGGAAUUAAUCGAGGACUAGAGGUCUAUGAUAACUCUGUCUAGUCUGCGAACGUCCUCAUCAAUAUCCAUUAUAGUUUUACGACGCUUGGGAGGUGUCUCAAAAGCAUUGAGAGCGUGCAUCGGGGCUGCCUUUGGAGGGAUGAAACAGACUUUGGCUGCUCUAAUCCCUUCGAAGUAAGGCCUUUCCUCCUCCGUAGUGUAGCGAAUACUGCUGAUCUCGCCGCUCCGGUUGGUCUUGACUCCAACAACCCUCUCAUUGGGUCUAGGUGGAAGGAUCCUUGUGCCGGUUGGCACCUUGAUGGUGGUCUUCGUCUUGGAUGAUGAUCCCUUGAGGAGUAGGGGUUGUGGCGGUGCGGUGAGAACUGGUUGAGCAUGGUAGGAUUGGGCGGAGCUGCGUUGGCGUAAUGGCAUGUCGCUCUGUGUUGGCCAGGACGAGAGCACGGGCAUCGGGGUCUUCCACAGGCUCCAUGUUGAGGUUGAAGGGGACGACUUCCCAAUCAUCAUGGAACUUCUCGGCCAUUGGAGCAGCAAGGAACUAAUCAAGCUCUAGUUGAAGAAGAAGAGAAGGCUUGGUGGUUUGGUGUUUGAAAACUGAUGUCAGGGGUCUGUUUAUAUAGGGGUCAAAAAGUGCCUCUAGGGGUUGUUCGGGUUGCUCCCGUCGAUGUGCGUGCGAAACAUUCCAUCUGAGGGAUUAUUUGGAUUACCAUAAGUGCAUUUUCCAUAACAGAGAAAAUCGGGACCGAGGGGGAACAGGAGCUGGGCGCCCGCCCUCUCUCUAGUCCCUCUGUGGACCCACUUUCUCAAGCGCGUUUCUAGAUGCAAAACUAUUUAGAAAAAUAUAUAUAUGACCCAAAAACAUCAGACUAAAAAAAGUCGGGCUCUAAUUCUCCAUGGGAAGGUAAAAAUGGACUACGUCUAUUUUUUCUAAUUCUUUAUUGGGCUCUAAAAAUAAUUUAAGACGUUGAUGUCACACCCAUAUUUUAAGAACAAAAUAGGAUGCAUAAAAGACUCAUAUGUGCCCCAGAAACAGUCGCACACAUAAAUAGACAAAUCUCAAAUGUACCAUCGCAGUGUUUAUUACAUAGCGGAAUUUAAAAUAUCACAUAGUCUCAUACAAAAAUGAUAGCAUAAAGUAAACAACGCUCUCGACGGAAGCUCCACACAGGGACACUGUUGACUGGUUGACUCUAAACCUAGUACUCAUAACGGUAAUCCUCAUUCCAGUCAUCUUCAUUAUCAUAUCCUGAGGUGUUGGGAAAUUACAAGAGUGAGCACAUAUCGUACUCAACAAGUAUAACCAGGGGUUCAUAAGGCUCAAAUAGCUGACACUGGUUUGACUGCAUUUAGCUUUUAAUAGUGGAUAGCAUAUUCACAAUUAAGUAGCAAUGGUCAAGGUAGCAUAAAUAAUCCAUUAAUCCCAUCAUCAAGUGUAAGCAUAAUUAAUUCUUAGCAUAAACGAUAAUCAAAUGAACAUAACAACUUAAUAAGCUCAUCGUCGGCGCAGCAAGAACCACCAAGGCCGCUCAUAACCGUGAGCACGGCUAGUAUACCAGUUUUACACUCCACAGAGGUUGUACAUCUUUACCCAUGAGUCAUGAUUUACCCUUUCGCCCGAGGCCCGUCGACCUCUUAACCCACUACCAAGGAAGGUCGGCAGGGAUCACUAUGAAGCCUUUCAAAAGUUCAUCUAACAUGUUAGGGCCGCAAGGUUUCCUUUGCGAGCAGAUAUAGAUACCCCCCUUCCGAACGGCACAAUGACGCGCAGCCUAUACACAUAGGGACAGGGGCUCGCACUAUACCCGUGUCGGUUCAGCCCCUCCGCCCUUUCGGGUAACCUCUAACAAGCUAGAAAAAGGUCUCCAUACUGAGCUAAAGCCAGAGCCAUUAUAGCCCUCAUGGUUGCACUGUUGUCCCGGUGAUCACUUACCGACAAGAUCUCAUAUAGUUUUUUGUCAUCUUUUAACGUUCAUUCAAUAGCUAUUAAUCAUCUUACAAGAUCAUGGAUUAUAGCAAGCACUAGUACAUCUACAGCAAAUGCAUAUCAAGUAGGUAGCAAGGAAUCCAGGUAACAAUUAUCUAUGAUUUUGCUAAGGUCGACAAGGUGAAAGCAUGCAUAUGAUAUAUAUGUGUAUUUAAGUGAAUAGGUAACAAGGAUGAUCCCAAGUUAUACUUGCCUUGAUCAAAGCUCUCCUGGGCCUGCUGCUGGUCGUCAAAAGAUUGACCUUGAUCACCAACGUAUCGCUCACCGUCUAUUCCCAAACAUCAAUCAACAACACGUAAUCCAAUAGAGACAAUCAUACACAAAGCAAACGAGAUAUAAUUACAACAUUACACCAAACAGUAGUAAAAUAAAGAUAAAAGUUUAUGAAAAUAUUCUACGCAGGGCUACGAUCACACAAAUGUAAAGUCCACGAAAAUCGGAAUUAAAACGUGAAAGAUAUGAAUUUUCUAAGAUUUCCUAUAGAGAAAUAAUUAAUUAAAUGCUACUGCGAAAAUAAAAAGUUUCAAAACAUUAAACAAAUAUUUCUAACAUGUAGAGCAUAUAAUUACGAAUCUAACGCAAUUUGAAUGGACAAAAACGGAGUUAAAAUGAAUAUUUUAUGACCAAUUCAAUUCCAAUGGCAAAACUGUAAAUAUCUGAUUGCGCCUUUUCAAUGGAACCGACGAAAAUACGUUUUCAAAUCGGGAUAGCGUAAACCGCCAAAGCGCCUUGGACUGCGGGUUAGAUUUCCAAAUUUUCCAGGGACUCUUAACCUAAAAUUGCAGGUGAAAGGGUAUGUUUAAAUCGUGGCCAUUGAUCUUCGGUUGGAUGGCCACGAUCUGCUCUUGGGGGUCCUCAGCGGCGGCCGGCUGGCCUCUCCCUGUCCCACGCGGUGGCCGCUAUGGCCAGAGGCCGAGGCUCGCCGGCGUCGUCCGGCUUCUCGUUUCCGAGCACCAAAUCAAGAAGCGAGAGAGAGCGAGGAGGUCGGGUCGCGGCGGCGGAACGCAUGCUGCUCCAGCGAGAUCCAAAUCGCGAAGUCUAGGGCUCGGUUUGGCAGCCGCAAAGCAAAGGGGAUGCCGCGGGGUUGGGAAGGAACUUUAUAGGGCACAAAACGGCAAGAAAAUCGCGAAAGUUUCGGGAUUGGAGAGAUUGAGCUCGGCUCGGUUUGUCCCCAACCGAGUCCUACCCGACUACGGCAGGGAAGGAGAAGGGCGCUGCGCAGUGGGUCCCGUGCGUCAGCCAAAGUGGUGCUGGGUCCCGUUCACCAGCGGCAGAAAGGAUAGAGAGGGAGGGUGCGCACGUGGGCCGCGGGAAAGGGGAAAUGGGCCGGGGAAGGGGGAAGUGGAGAAGAAGGAGCAGGCCGGGGGGUGAGGGGAGCUGGGCCUCGGCGUGGAUCCCAGGGGCUUUCUUUUUUUUUAUUCUUUUCUUUUUCCAUUUUAUUUUCUUUUCUGUUUUCUUUUCCUAAAACCUUUUACAAAUAAAAUUGUGAAUGCAAAUAAAUUCAAGCCAGAGGCAAACAAUACAAAAUAAAAUAUUCUUCAGUAUGAAUGCAUAAACAAGUUUCUAAUCUUAUGAUAAAUUUUAAUUUUGACCAAAAAAAUAUUUAAGUGCUAAAUUUAAAUGCGCACAAAAAUACUUAAUUAAAUCAAAUUACUCCCUAUUUAUUUAAAACAGAUUUUUGGGUGUUACAAACUCUACCCCCCUUAAAAGAAUCUCGUCCUCGAGAUUGAGCAGUGCAUAAACAAACCACUGUGGAUACGAUUCUCUCCAAUCAUAAUCUCUUUCCCAAGUUGCUUCUUCCUCUAACAACUGAUUCCAUUGCACUAGCAAUUUCAUGUCUCUAGUCAGGUAACAUACCUGGUAACUUAUCUGAAAAUUUAUUCUCUACACAGUCCUGAAGAUCAACACCAUCAUCCAGCUGAUUCACUCUAGCCGUGGGUGGAGCCUGCACUGCUACAUCCACACUGAUUCUCUCUCCCUUGGGUGUUGUCACAACUACUACUUUCUCUUUGCAUUUAAUUUCCGUAGCAUAUUUCUUCAUCCAAUCCAAACCCAAAAUCACAUCUAUGCCUGAGGUUCUCAUGACCAUGGGACUAACCGGGAAAUCUACCCCCCUUAAAGAAAGACUUGCUGAGGGGCAACAAUAUGAAACUGGUAUAGUCCCUCCCCGUGAGUUUACUAGCAUAUGGAUUUUCAUGGCAACUAGUGGUAUGCUAUGAACUCUAACAAAUGCUUGUGAUAUGAAUGUAUAUGAAGCUCCAGAAUCAAAUAAAACUGUAGCAGGAAUAGAGUUGAUACUGAACAUACCCAUCAUGAUUUCUGGUCUCUCUUGUACUGUCUCUGCAGCCACAUGGUUCACCUUUGCUCCAAGAGAAUUAGACUUUUGAUUGUUGUUCUGCUGGUUGAAUCUCUCCGGGAAAUCAUAUGACAUAUGAUCUUCUUUACCACAGCGAAAACACCUAGUAGGGGUAUUGGGAGCACUUCUCUUCAUAGAGGUGGCAUUUGAAUUUCUUGAGCGGUGAUUCUGCUGACCACUCUGCUAUUGAUUAGGAUUACGCUGAGGUUAUUGGUUGCGAUCCCAUUGACCAACCGGUCCCUGGUACCUCUAUUGAUCGCCCUGCUGAGGAUUGAAACGUUGGCGGUUGUUGCCUCCAGAACCUUGGGCUAGCAUCCUUCGCUUCUUGUCCUGGCCUUUGCGCAUGUUAUCCAACACAAUAGCACGAUUCACCAGAGCUUGAAAAGUAGGAUAGGUAUUUCUAGCCAACUGCAACCUAAGCUCAUAGUAAAGACCUUUCAUGUAGAGACGCUACUUAUCGGCAUCUUCUCUGACUUCAUUUGGAGCAUAGCGAGCCAACUGCUAAAACAUGUCAUGAUACUCAGCCAUAGACAUAGAACCCAUCCUGAGAGAUCUAAAUUCUUCCUGCUUAAGCUCCAUCAUUCCCUCAUUGAUGUGUCGUGCUCGGAAGUCUCUGCAAAAUUCUAACCAAGUGACAGAAGGAGCAUUGUUGGGACGAGCAGCUUGAUAUGACUCCCACCAGGUCUGAGCUGCUCCCUGAAGUUGUCUAGAAGCAUACAACACCUUCUCUAAGUCAUUGCACUGUGCCAUGUUCAAUUGCCUCUCCACAGCACGUAGCCAAUCAUCUGCCUCCAUAGGAUCAGUUGAAUGUGUAAAUACCGGAGGUCUUCCCUUCAUGAAUUCCCCCCGCUUAUCUCUCACAUGAACAGGUGGUGGGGGUGGUGGAGGUUGCUGUUGUAGGUGCUGCAUGAAGACGUGCAUCAUCUCAUUCUGAGUUUGCAUAAGUUCCUCCACAGUGAUUGGGCCAUUGCCACCAUUGCCGUUGCCAUUGCCAUUGCCAUUGACACAGCCUCUGCUCUGCCUCUUCCCCUUGCUGCCAUCUGCAUUCCAAGGUAUAUAAACACAUUUUAGUAAUGUCCAACAUGAUAAUUACAAGAGUUAACGGAAUCUGAAAUUUUCUGGGUAACAUCCAACAUUAGCAGAUCAGAAAAUCAAUCAUAUCUCGUGUUCCAGAAAUCCAAAGGAUACAUGCUGUACACCGUUGGAAAGAUAAAGAAAUUGUCUACAACUUUCAUUUAGAUAAUAUUACCAGAUUCCAAGGUUAGGUUAAUCAAAAACUGUGUACAAUCGAAACUGUUCCAGAAUUCCAGAAUGCGCAGAAACCUCAACUUUGAACAGUCAUAUCUCACAGCUCACAACCGAUAAUAUUAUAAUUCUAGAGGCAUUGGAAAUAUAUGAGAGUUUACUGGUUCCCAGAAAAAUUUGAUGAACAUUGCUUGAACAGAUUUUGAGAUGUACCAGAUUCAUUGCCGACUGCUCCAGAAAACAGCAAAGGACAGAAACAGAAUUUUAACCAAACCCGACUAUUUAGUCCAUUAAUCCUUAUGCCUUAGGCCUAUAGACUAAAUGAAAUUGUAGAGAAAAUCUACAAGAUCAUUACACUCAUUACAAAGAUCCAAAUCAAGCAUAAGCAUAAUAACAACCCAAACCAAGCAUCAAAGGUUCACACUUCAAGCAUUGACUCAACUUGCGGUACUAUCGUUCUUUUCCUAUUAAGGGCAAAGAUCCUAAAACACCUAUCUCAGAGAUGCCAGAAGGUGGUAAGAAAAGGUUCUAAGAGCAUAUCAAGCAAGGAGUGGGGAUGACAACAAGUUUUUAAAAUAAGCAACAAGGUAAAGAUGAAUAGGUUAUAGUGUAGAAGAAAAUAUCAAGGUUUAUAGAGCAAGGAUUUUAUAGCAAUUUCAAAACCUUAAGACGGCCAAUUUCUAACUAGGCUUGCGUCCGACAGUCAACAAAGCUUUGAUACCAAUUUGUCACACCCAUAUUUUAAGAAUAAAAUAGGAUGCAUAAAAGACUCAUAUGUGCCCCAGAAACAGUCGCACACAUAAAUAGACAAAUCUCAAAUGUACCAUCGCAGUGUUUAUUACAUAGCGGAAUAUAAAAUAUCACGUAGUCUCAUACAAAAAUGAUAGCAUAAAGUAAACAACGCUCUCGAUGGAAGCUCCACACAGGGACACUGUUGACUGGUUGACUCCAAACCUAGUACUCAUAACGGUAAUCCUCAUUCCAGUCAUCUUCAUUAUCAUAUCCUGAGAUGUUGGGAAAUUGCAAGAGUGAGCACAUAUCGUACUCAACAAGUAUAACCAGGGGUUCAUGAGGCUCAAAUAGCUGACACUGGUUUGACUGCAUUUAGCUUUUAAUAGUGGAUAACAUAUUCACAAUUAAGUAGCAAUGGUCAAGGUAGCAUAAAUAAUCCAUUAAUCCCAUGAUCAAGUGUAAGCAUAAUUAAUUCUUAGCAUAAACGAUAAUCAAAUGAACAUAACAACUUAAUAAGCUCAUCGUCGGCGCAGCAAGAACCCCAAAGGCCGCUCAUAACCGUGAGCACGGCUAGUAUACCAGUUUUACACUCUGCAGAGGUUGUACAUCUUUACCCAUGAGUCAUGAUUUACCCUUUCGCCCGAGGCCCGUCGACCUCUUAACCCACUACCAAGGAAGGUCGGCAGGGAUCACUAUGAAGCCUUUCAAAAGUUCGUCUAACAUGUUAGGGCCGCAAGGUUUUCUUUAUGAGCAGAUAUAGAUACCCCCCUUCCGAAUGGCACAAUGACGCGCAGCCUAUACACAUAGGGGCAGGGGCUCGCACUAUACCCGUGUCGGUUCAGCCCCUCCGCCCUUUCGGGUAACCUCUAACAAGCUAGAAAAGGUCUCCAUACUGAGCUAAAGCCAGUGCCAUUAUAGCCCUCAUGGUUGCACUGUUGUCCCGGUGAUCACUUACAGACAAGAUCUCAUAUAGUUAUUUGUUAUCUUUGAACGUUCAUUGCAUAGCUAUUAAUCAUCUUACAAGAUCUUGGAUUAUAUCAAGCACUAGUACAUCUACAGCAAAUGCAUAUCAAGUAGGUAGCAAGGAAUCCAGGUAACAAUUAUCUAUGAUUUUGCUAAGGUCGACAAGGUGCAAGCAUGCAUAUGAUAUAUAUGUGUAUUUAAGUGAAUAGGUAACAAGGAUGAUCCCAAGUUAUACUUGCCUUGAUCAAAGCUCUCCUGAGCCUGCUGCUGGUCGUCAAAAGAUUGACCUUGAUCACCAACAUAUCGCUCACCGUCUAUUCCCAAACAUCAAUCAACAACACGCAAUCAAUUAGAGACAAUCAUACACAAAGCAAACGAGAUAUAAUUACAACAUUACACCAAACAGUAGUAAAAUAAAUAUAAAAGUUUAUGAAAAUAUUCUACGCAGCGCUACGAUCACACAAACGUAAAGUUCACGAAAAUCGGAAUUAAAACGUGAAAGAUAUGAAUUUUCUAAGAUUUCCUAUAGAGAAAUAAUUAAUUAAAUGCUACUGCAAAAAUAAAAAGUUUCAAAACAGUAAACUAAUAUUUCUAACAUGUAGAGCAUAUAAUUACGAACCUAACGCAAUUUCAAUGGACAAAAACGGAGUUAAAAUGAAUAUUUUAUGACCAAUUCAAUUCCAAUGGCAAAACUGUAAAUAUCUGAUUGCGCCUUUUCACUACGAAAAUACGUUUUCAAAUCGGGAAAGCGUAAACCGCCAAAGCGCCUUGGACUGCGGGUUAGAUUUCCAAAUUUUCCAGGGAUUCUUAACGUAAAAUCGCAGGUGAAAGGGUAUGUUUAAAUCAGGGCCGUUGAUCUUCGGUUGGAUGGCCACGAUCUGCUCUUGGGGGUCCUCGGCGGCGGCCGGCUGGCCUCUCCCUGUCCGACGUGGUGGCCGCCAUGGCCGGAGGCCGAAGCUCACCGGCGUCGUCCGGCUUCUCGUUUCCGAGCACCAAAUCAAGAAGCGAGAACAUGGGAAGAUGCAGAAGAAACUCGCGAACUCACAUAGAUGGUUUACUCGAGCCGAGAGAGAGCGAGGAGGUCGGGUCGUGGCGGCGGAACGCGUGCUGCUCCAGCGAGAUCCAAAUCGCGAAGUCUAGGGCUCGGUUUGGCAGCCGCAAAGCAAAGGGGAGGCCGCGGGGUUGGGAAGGAACUUUAUAGGGCACAAAACGGCAAGAAAAUCGCGAAAGUUUCGGGAUUAGAGAGAUUGAGCUCGGCUCGGUUUGUCCCCAACCGAGUCCUACCCGAGUACGGCAGGGAAGGAGAUGGGCGCUGCGCAGUGGGUCCCGCGCGUCAGCCAAAGGGGUGCUGGGUCCCGGUCACCAGCGGCAGAAAGGAGAGAGAGGGAGGGUGCGCACGUGGGCCGCGGGAAAGGGGAAAUGGGCCGGGGAAGGGGGAAGUGGAGAAGAAGGAGCAGGCCGGGGGGUGAGGGGAGCUGGGCCUCGGCGUGGAUCCCAGGGGCUUUCUUUUUUUUUAUUCUUUCCUUUUCCAUUUUAUUUUCUUUUCUGUUUUCUUUUCCUAAAACCUUCCAAAUAAAAUUGUGAAUGCAAAUAAAUUCAAGCCAGAGGAAAACAAUACAAAAUAAAAUAUUCUUCAGCAUGAAUGCAUAAACAAGUUUCUAAUCUUAUGAUAAAUUUUAAUUUUGACCAAAUAAAUAUUUAAGUGCUAAAUUUAAAUGCGCACAAAAUACUUAAUUAAAUCAAAUUACUCCCUAUUUAUUUAAAACAGAUUUUUGGGUGUUACAGUUGACCAUUUACCUUGAAUAACGUACCUUCGUCAUUUUGAAGUGUGAUAGCUCCGUGGGAUGAUGAAUUAAUUACCUGGAAUGGUCCUUCCCACUUGCUCCAGAGUUUCCCAUGCCCGAAAAGCUUCACCCUGGAAUUAAAAAGUAAUACCUUAUCUCCGGGUGUGAACUCCUUCUUGAUUCUCUUGUCAUGCCACCUUUUGACUCUUUCUUUGUAGAUCUUUGAAUUGUGAUAUGCUUUCUCUCGCCAUUCUUCCAAUUCUGAUAGUUGCAUUCUUCUAUGAUCUCCAGCAACGUCUAGGUCCAUAUUCCAUCUCUUUUAUGGCCAAGUGUGCUUUGAACUCUAGUUCAACAGGUAGGUGGCAAGUCUUCCCGUACACCAAUUGGUAUGGAGACAUUCCAAUUGGGGUCUUGUAUGCUGUCUGGUAUGCCCAGAGUGCAUCGGGUAACUUGUCUUUCCACGCCGUUCCCAUUUCAUUUACUGUCUUCUCAAGAAUAUUCUUGAUUUGCUUGUUGGAAGCCUCUGCUUGGCCACUUGUCUGAGGAUGAUAGGGGGUAGGGACGUUGUGACGGAUUCCAUGUUUUGAUAGAUAUUGCUUGAAGCGUUUGUCGAUGAAGUGUGCUCCUCCAUCACUUAUCACUACUCUGGGGACUCCAAAUCUUGGAAAUAUAAUUUCUUCAAACAUCCUCUUUGAACUGAUGUUGUCGGCAUGCUUGCAAGGUAACGCCUCUACCCACUUGGAGACAUAGUCAACCGCCACCAAGAUGUACUCACACUUCUUUGAUGGAGGAAAUGAACCCAUAUAGUCUAUUCCCCAGACAUCGAAGAGCUCAAUCUGAAGGUUGUUGGUGAGUGGCAUUGCAUCCCUUGUAUUUAUGUUUCCGUGCCUUUGACAUGGCCCACAUCUUCUGAUAUAUUGCUUCAUGUCUUCAUACAUUGUAGGCAAGUAGAAUCCACACUGCCAGAUCUUUGAAUGUGUACGGAAUGCUCCAUAGUGACCUCCAUAUGGUGAUGAAUGGCAUCUGUCGAUGAUCUUCCAUCCUUCCUCAGUGGUCACACAUUUCCUGAGUAAGCCAUCAGAGCAUACUCGGAAGAGGUAUGGCUCAUCCCACAUAUGUGAACGACUUUCUUGAAUAAGCUUCUUCUUGUUUGCUCCUGGUGGUACAUACUAAAACCAUAAAAUUAACAAUAUCUGCAUACCAGGGGUCAGACCUGUUAAUCCCGUAGAGCAUGUCGUCCCGGAGUGAAUCAUUGAUGGGGGUUUCCUAUGGACUCAUAAAAUACAUUCUAGACAAGUGAUCAGCAACGGAAUUUUCUACUCCCUUUUUAUCUCUUAUUUCUAAGUCAAAUUCUUGGAGUAAUAAAAUCCAUCUAAUCAGGCGAGGUUUAGCAUCUUUUUUAGUGAGCAAAUAUUUUAGUGCAGCAUGAUCAGUGUUAACAAUUAUUUUAGCUCCAACUAAAUAAGAUCUAAAUUUAUCAAUGGCAAAGACAACAGCCAGAAGCUCUUUUUCAGUGGUUGCAUAAUUAAGUUGAGCUCUUGUCAAAGUUUUACUGGCAUAAGCAAUUGCAUGAUGCUUCUUAUUUUUAGUUUGUCCCAAAACUGCCCCCACAGCAUGAUCACUAGCAUCACACAUAAUUUCAAAAGGCAACGACCAAUCAGGGGGUUGAAUGAUUGGUGCAGAGAUGAGUGCUUUCUUUAAUAAAUUAAAAGAUGUUAGACAUGCAUCAUCAAAUUCGAAAGGAGCAUCCUUGGCUAGCAAAAGAGUAAGUGGUCUAGCAAUAAAUGAAAAAUCUUUUAUGAAUCUACGAUAAAAACCAGCAUGGCCAAGAAAGCUUCGAAUUCCUUUUAUAUUCACAGGUGGAGGUAGUUGUUCAAUUACUUUAAUUUUAGCUUUAUCUACCUCAAUACCUCUUUCAGACACUAAGUGUCCCAACACUAUUCCUUCCCUAACCAUGAAAUGACAUUUUUCCCAAUUAAUGACUAAGUGCUUUUCUUCACAUCUUUGCAAAACCUUGUCUAAGUUUUCAAGACAACUAUCAAAAGUUUUUCCAUAAAUAGAGAAAUCAUCCAUGAAAACUUCCAUAACCUCUUCAAUCAUAUCAGAAAAUAUAGACAUCAUGCAUCUUUGAAAAGAAGCUGGUGCAUUACAUAACCCAAAAGACAUUCUACGGUAAGCAUAAGUUCCAUAUGGGCAUGUAAAAGUGGUUUUGCUUUGAUCAUCGGGAUGGAUCGGGAUCUGAUGAUACCCUGAAUAUCUAUCUAAGAAACAGAAGAACGAACGGUUUGCUAACCGCUCUAGCAUCUCAUCUAUGAAAGGUAAAGGAAAGUGAUCCUUUCUCGUGGCUUUGUUUAGUUUUAUAUAGUCUAUGCACAUCCGCCAUCCUGUGACGGUGCGUUGCGUAAUUAGCUCGUUCUUUUCAUUCAUAAUAACAGUCAUGCCUCCCUUUUAGGCACAACUUGAACUGGGCUUACCCACUCACUGUGCGACACAGGAUAUAUAAUCCCUGCAUGCAGCAACUUUAUAACUUCCUUUUUAACUACCUCUCUCAUAGUGUUAUUAAGUCUACAUUAGGGUUCUCGAGAAGGUGAAAUAGAAGGAUCUGUUGGAAUACGAUGGGUACAAAUCAUAGGACUGAUUCCUCUAAGAUCUUGGAGUGAGUAGCCGAAAACUGAGUGAUGUUUCUCAAGAAUGGUCUGUUGAUAUUUGGUAACGCAAUAAGGAAAUGAUCCGCAAGCGCACGGAUAUCGGUGAGCAUUUCACCCGGGAGGUUUUCCAGAGUAUCGUAUUUAUAUUUUUACCACUGAGAGAAAGGGUGCAUCUGACUAACCAAAUCUAUUGCUACUAUCCCUUUAGGCACAAAGAAUGUCUUUCGAUGUGAGUGAUACAUAGAGAAGACUGCAACCGUAGUCUCCUUCUAACCUUGGUAAGGAUGAUCUACUGUUCUAAUGGGGAGGCUAACGGAAUCUAGACACCACAAAGGAUGUUCAACCCGCACCUAUAAACCCUAUCCUUCCUGCUAACGAGAUGUGAUCUACAAAGGUAGCUCGGAAAUGUCACGUUCCUCACUACUACCACGGUCCAGCUAGUCAGGGAAUAUCUAUGAGUACCCCAGCCUAAACACCACGUUUACGCCAGUAAUGAUUACUUUAAACUCUACGCGAAGAGAUUAAAGUAAACUCAUAAACCAUAAGAACAAUAAAAUAGGAACUUACUAGAAUUUAGAAGUCGAAUUUCUGAAGAAUCCUAGGAGCAAGCUUCAGGUUAGGAGAACUUGAUCCCGCAGGUACAAGCUUGGAGUAGACACCGACAGGCCGGGCUUCCUUCACUCUACACCUCCACUCUAUCUCUCUCAAUCUAGUAGAAACUAGAAGAUCUAUUUCUACCUUACAUUGAUUGCUAAGCCUAAAAAGAAAUAUUAAUUAGAGAAGAGGUUUUCCUUCGAGGGCACCCCUCAGUCUCUAUGAUAAUUUCUUCAUGUCUUCCAGGGGCCAGGGGAGCCUCGCUUAUAUAGUCCUCCCCUUCUAUGCGUUUUUGGGUCGAUAGCCGAGGUGGUACUAUGUUUUUCUUGAUCUAAUAGGUCGGUGGAAUAUCCCGAGCGAAGGAGUCCUGAAUUGACUCCAGCAGGGGGGCGGGCGCCCAGGCUACCAGGGCGGGCGCCCUGGGCCUGGCCCAGCUUCGCCUCCGCUUCGGUCUCGUGGCUUCUGGAGUCUUCUAGAUGAUGUAAAAUUACGCGGUGCGUUGAUAUCUCUAUGUAAUCCCAACAUGUGGGCCUUUCUUCCUUAUUUCCUGAUAACCCCCUGCAGAAAUAGAUAAACAACAAAACUCGUGGAAUUCUGUCAGAUCAAACCCUAAUUCUAGGUGAUGGUUGCAUAUUGGUCCUUUCUCGUGUUUAUUUGAUAAUUAAAAUUGAUACUUAAGAACCAUCAACAAAUAACCCCAUACAUAGGCUUUGACUCGUCCUCGAGAAAAGGAUGGUUAAGAAUAAUAUCUGGGGUAAACAUUUAAAACAUUCUCUUUAUAAUUGCAGGGUGUUAAAAAUUCCACUGUGUACCAUAGUCAGGGAUGUGUAUGGUUAAGUGUAAAGAUUCUUUCUUUUCAAUCCUGUCACUUGGAGUUUUUGUAUAUUUUUGAAAGAAAGUUAGCAUACCUUUUUGAUCCUCAUAGGUUCUCUCAGAUCACUCAUUAUCUUUUAUAUAUAUAUAUCUCAUUGAGGCUGUUUUAUUUUGCAAAAAUUCUCAAGCAUACUUACUUUGGAUUUAUUGCCUGAUCAAAACGGGAUCCGAGGAGGGAAAUGUCAUACUCUUAGAUCAAAGACUUUGGAAAUUAAAAACUUUGUCAACUCUUGCUGGCAUAUUGCUUAUUAGAGGGACCAUGGGCUAUCAUUUUUUUUCUUUUUCUUUUUUUUCUUUUUUUUAAGUGGAUACCGAGGUACCCCUAAUUCUACUUCCGGACACUUGUCCAUUAUUUCUGCGAGGUUGUCGAGCACUUGCUCCUUUUUAUUUCCUCGAAAUAUCUUCUAUUUUUGCAUAGCCCAUGCCUCUAAUGCAAUAAUACUUCGGAAGAGUGAAUCUUACUGAAAUAAUGUCUUGAUCUUAGGAGCAUGAUAAAUCUCUCAACAAGGGUCUAACUCAUUUUGAACAAACUCAAUACAGAGCAGAUAGCUUUUAUAAUCAUAUUUAAUAUUUCAGUUUUAUCAGGCAUAUAAAACACUGAGGAUGGUAGCUAGGAAUUUCGACAUUUUGAAAUAAAUUCUGCAAGCAACAAUGAUAUCAAGAAUAAGAAACUCAUACUCUACCAUCACAUAUUCCAUCUUGACUUAAGUAACACAGGGUUUUAAAAAAUGAUUUUAUACUAAUUGCAAGUUUUCAGGAAAUAUCACAGAUUGAGAUUAAUCAUGAUUAGAAAUAUUUUAAUCUUUUUAUUUUAUCAUGUCGGGAACAAUAUUCUGCAUAAUCUAAAAUAUAUAUAUGUGUAGAGUAAAGUGUGCAGAGUGUGUACCUGAAUCGUGGAGUGGUGUAGUCGGAAUGUGUUUAGCAUGUCGAGGGAUCUCCCCCAUACUUGUUUUCUGCUUUCUUGCACAAAAAUAAAGUAGAGACACACAAGACAUAAUAAUAAUACUCUUUAUUGAUCUUGAGGCAUUUAUUACACAAGGAAGAACAAAAUUAUUUUUGGCUAUUCUCUCCCGGAUUAGGAGUAGAAUAUUUUUGGGUGAUUCUAAAGAUAGAAAUGUAUGGAUAUAUGUGGAUGGUACUUCCGGAGUAGAAGUAGCAUGUGUGAGUGAACGUGCAAGUGAAUCUUGAUUUAACCACAUGACAAGCUCCUAAGGGUCUACAUAGCUUGACCACACUCAAUGCUCAUAAGCAGUAAAAAGUAAUUGUGUGGCUCGAAGUCUAGCAAGCAUGUAUAUAUGGCUGUGGUAGGAAUUUAAACUCUCAUCAUACAGGAACUCAUCAUGCAACAUUUUAAAGAUUUCCAAAGAUAAAAUUCUCCAGAAUUCUAGCAUCUCUAGAAACAGAUAAACAGCAGCUCAACCUUCCCAUAUCGUAUCCGUUAACAACUUAGAUUUCAGAUCAAGUUUUCAUCCCACAAGUUUAGGUCUAGAGCAAGCUUUAAAUUAUAACAGUUAUGUCUAAACUUGAGAGAGAACUUAAAAUGUGCAAAUUAGGCAGAGCAACUAUUCAUCAUUUCCAUGCUUGAGUUUUAUUUAGAUACAGAUUAGCAUAGCCACUUUAUUUAUUUAUUAAACACACUAAGCAAAAGACAUAUAUAUAUAUAAGCAUAAAAUCUUUAUUUGGUUUUUCAUAGUUAUGUAUAUUUAUAUUCUAAAAGAAUAUAAGUAUAGAGAUAGAUAGAUAGAAAUACUUAUUGAGAUAAAUGGGGUGCUCUCCCCCAAGCUGAAUUUUGACGUAAUUUCUCUUGAUGUAGCUAGCAGGUGGCAGAGGUGUAUUUGAAAGUCAGCAGCAUUGUGACAGCGAUUAGAAUAUCCUCCGUCUGCCAGUCUUCUUGAUUCUUAGAUUCUGUGGAGCUCAAAUAGACAACAAAGCUCGUGGAACUAAUUAAGUGUUAGCAUAAAUAUCUAGCCUUUAUCAUGUUGAGACUCCUUAAUAAUUAUUACUCCCUGUUUUUAUAUUUUUAUUUUAUAAAGCAGAAAAAUAUUUUUGUUUUAUUUUUAUGCCACCACAGUGAAUGUACUUAUGGGUUUUAUGCCACUCGUAUCCUCACAUGGGGCUUACUGUUUUUCACAUUUUUACUUUCUGUUUAGAACUUAAUUAACUAAGUGAACUACUUGAAAUAAUUGAAAGGGAAAGGAUAACUACCAAGUUUACCUCUUGGCAAGGCGUUCGGUGUUUUUAAGUCCUCCGAACGGGACUCUCCUUCUUCUCAAUUGUCCUGAGGUUCGUUCGGUGGCGUAGUCGGUACUUCCGGUAGCGCCUCCUCUUCAUGUAUAGUUAUCUUCCUUUUCCACACCUGACUUGGUGCUUCGGUCUCCUCUGGAUAAUUCUGUUUAAACUCAACAUCUUCUGACCUUACAACUUUUCCUUCGUAGUCUGCCCAUCCGUCCUUGAUGAUUUGCCUCCUCUGGUUGCGGUUGCGUCGUCUUCUUCUUGUCCUGACCUGCUUAGAAUCUUAAACUAUAUAGUUAGAAUCAUUAAAGUAAUGGCGUACCUUCUCGGAGGGGAAAUACACGUGGACUUCUCCGGUUCCAAUGUAGAUGAUAACUUGGAUAGUGUUGAGGAAUGGUCUUCCAAGGAUGAUGGGUGGAUCGUACUCGUCUUCUCCCAUAUCAAUGUUCUGAAAAUCAUCUGGAGCUAAAUAUAUAUUGGUUGUAGGGGCAUGGUUCCAUGCAGGAGCUGAUAAGUGACUGCGGCCAUUAUGUUGACGUUAGAUCCGGUGUCGUAGAGUGUUUUCUAAAAAGAGUAUCUAUUGGUUGUGCACUCGAUGAUUGGAACACCAGGGUCGUCCUUCUUGAUCAAGAAAGGUGACUUGAGUCGACGAUCUUGACCUCCUUGAGCUGCAGUGACCAUCUUAGCUGACUCGGUCCACAUUUGCUUGUUCCUGUUCCUCCUGUUGGUCCUCUUCCUUGGUUCAUGUCCGGAUUGCUCUGAAGUUUAUGUAGUCUUGUUCUUGAAGAAAAGUCUCCUUCUUCCCCUUGAUGUAGAGACUGAUCUUGGCAUCAUUAGCGUAGAUGACAGCUCUGGAGUUUAGGAAUGGCCUCCGUAAGAUGAUGGGUGCCCUCUCCUCAGUACCAGUCUCUACCACCACGAAGUUUGCUGGACCGUACAAGGUACCAACUUGGACACAGAGGUUCUUUAAUAUUUCCUUUGGGAAACUAAGUGUCUGAUCUCCAUUGUGUUUAUGCUCGUAGAUCCCGGUUCUUCACUUAAUGGAAUCUGGGAGUUGUAAAACGCCUUCACGUUUCUCAAAAUGUGUCCUGCUCAUAGAGACAAGGCAGAGAUCAAGUGCAUGGGCUCUGUUGGUGGAAAACACCAACAGAACCAAAAGUGUAUUUGUUCUUUUCUAACCUUAAGCAUAGUGAGCAAGACAAAGUUGAUGGAUCAUGAGUGUAGCAUUUAAAACAUUUGUUAGAUCAGAUGGCUCAACCUAAUGGAAAGAUAAUCUAUCUAUAUUUAUGUUUUGUUUUUAUCUUCCAAAGAUUGAAUGUGCAACAUAUUAGCUUAUAUGUUUAGGAGCGUGGGAUUAUGAAGGUAGUACUAAGAACAAAGAUUAAGGGACUAAACAUGUUGAAUCAGUUAGGUUGGUUAAUUUAGAGUUAUAAAUCAUACAUGUUUGUCUCUUUAUUUAUGUGAAUGCCAGAACCAAUGAGAAACUUAUAAAAGGAUAGUCAAGUACCUUAAGAUGUUACCUUUGAAGAGUGAUGGUACAGUAUCACCUUGUAGAAGCUUUUCUUUCUAGCGGUUGUGCAUCGUGUUUGUGUCUCCCUCCGUGGAUCAUCUCUUAUGAGCUACGUCUUUCUUGUGCAAAUUGUUAAACUUCAUGUGUCACUUUCUUCAUCUCUAAUGUGAGUUUAUCUCAGGACUUCCCAGGUUGAUAUUGAAAGUUUUCCUGCAGGGGUUAGUCCCACAAAAUAUACCAAUGUCUACACAAGCAAUUUUUAGUUCGAUAACCGAACUAGACUCCAUGUCUAAUCAGAUUAAGGAAGGCUGUUUAACCUAAGCACCAUGCUUAAUUUAAAAGCCAAUAGAAGUAUGUGCAGUACUUCCAAACUAACACUUACUAGGAUAAACAAAGGUAGCGUGAUGGCAUUUAUAGAGAUCUACUUAAGUGGAGAUGAAGUAGUGUGAUUAGUAUUUAACAAAUUGAGCAUGUCUCAAAGGUAAGGACAACCAACAUAGCAACAUGGCAAAGGAUGUUUUUAUGUGAAGUACUCCCCUAAGCUUGAAUUUUGCAAAAUUCAAGAUUGGAUGAAUUUAAUUCACUGUUGCAUGUUGAUUGGUUGGGCAUACCUUGCGCUUGUCAUUCAUCCAGUCUUCUUGCUCCAAUCCUAGAAAGGUUAGUGACAAGAAUACCCGAAGGAAUAUUUCUACAAUUAUCUUUAUAUGCUCAAUACACAAGGUAAUGUUGCAAGUAAUUAGAAGUUCAUGUUACAAUCUGAUAAGUGCUUGUUUUAGGACACUAAGCUUGUCCUUGGGAAACCAUCAAUUAACUCGACGAGAUCUGCAAUAUUUAUUAUAAACAUAUGCAUCGACAACCGCUCUUUUAAAGUUUUUAUAAAUAGAAAAGAAGAGAGGGUUGGAGAUCUCAAAUGUGGUGAUAGCACAUGAAUUUUUAAUGCCCUCUAGCCAUUGAUGUUGCUCUUCUCGAUCCUCCUUAUGCAUGGGAUGUCUAGAGAGAUUCAUAGGAUUAUCGGGAGGUUCAAGAGAAAGAGCAUAGUAGAGAUUAUUAGGCUCAAGGAUGGGUUGGAUAGCCGAAUCAUGGGAUUGGAAAGUUUGGAAAUCGGCUAUUGAAACUUCCUCUCCUUGUAUGGGAGAUGAUUCCUUCUCUAUCUCUAUGAUUUUUCUAUGAAGACUAGUACAAGAAGGAUGUCCACGAAUGAAGACAUACCUUCCGUUACUAACUGAUAAAGAAAGAAGGACUCUACCAAAGGUUAUAUGAUUAAGACCAAUGUGAAAAUAUCUAAGAAAAACAUGGUCUUGCAAGGCUAUUUCUAAUCCAGAAUUUAUAGAAAGAUUAACAGAUUCCCUAGGUGUAGCUAAAAGUGCAUUAUCUUCUUGAUUAAAAGAUAGGACCUUGGCUAUAGAAAAGGGUUGGUUUUGACCUAUUGCAAUCAACUCCGGACACAGAUCAUAAUUAGGGGCAGGAUGUGUUGACUCCCAUGGUCUAUGGCUGGUCUCCGAAGGUGCAAAGAAUUUAAUAAUAGUUAUGGAAUUUGAGUUAUCCACAAAGAUAAAAAUAAAAAGAUAAAAGAAUAAAAGUAUAAAAGUAUAAUACAAGAUAAUAGCAAGACUCAAAGUUAUCUCAGCAAACCGUCUUUCUCCCCGGCAACGGCGCCAGAAAUGCUUGUUGAUAUUUGGUAACGCAAUAAGGAAAUGAUCCGCAAGCGCACGGAUAUCGGUGAGCAUUUCACCCGGGAGGUUUUCCAGAGUAUCGUAUUUAUAUUUUUACCACUGGGAGAAAGGGUGCAUCUGACUAACCAAAUCUAUUGCUACUAUCCCUUUAGGCACAAAGAAUGUCUUUUGAUGUGAGUGAUAAAUAGAGAAGACUGCAACCGUAGUCUCCUUCUAACCUUGGUAAGGAUGAUCUACUGUUCUAAUGGGGAGGCUAACGGAAUCUAGACACCACAAAGGAUGUUCAACCCGCACCUAUAAACCCUAUCCUUCCUGCUAACGAGAUGUGAUCUACAAAGGUAGCUCGGAAAUGUCACGUUCCUCACUACUACCACGGUCCAGCUAGUCAGGGAAUAUCUAUGAGUACCCCAGCCUAAACACCACGUUUACGCCAGUAAUGAUUACUUUAAACUAUACGCGAAGAGAUUAAAGUAAACUCAUAAACCAUAAGAACAAUAAAACAGGAACUUACUAGAAUUUAGAAGUCGAAUUACUGAAGAAUCCUAGGAGCAAGCUUCGGGUUAGGAGAACUUGAUCCCGCAGGUACAAGCUUGGAGUAGACACCGACAGGCCGGGCUUCCUCCACUGUACACCUCCACUCUAUCUCUCUCAAUCUAGUAGAAACUAGAAGAUCUAUUUCUACCUUACAUUGAUUGCUAAGCCUAAAAAGAAAUAUUAAUUAGAGAAGAGGUUUUCCUUCGAGGGCACCCCUCAGUCUCUAUGAUAAUUUCUUCAUGUCUUCCAGGGGCCAGGGGAGCCUCGCUUAUAUAGUCCUCCCCUUCUAUGCGUUUUUGGGUCGAUAGCCGAGGUGGUACUAUGUUUUUCUUGAUCUAAUAGGUCAGUGGAAUAUCCCGAGCGAAGGAGACCUGAAUUGACACCAGCAGGGGGGCGGGCGCCCAGGCUACCAGGGCGGGCGCCCUGGGCCUGGCCUAGCUACGCCUCCGCUUCGGUCUCGUGGCUUCUGGAGUCUUCUAGAUGAUGUAAAAUUACGCGGUGCGUUGAUAUGUCUAUGUAAUCCCGACAUGUGGGCCUUUCUUCCUUAUUUCCUGAUAACCCCCUGCAGAAAUAGAUAAACAACAAAACUCGUGGAAUUCUGUCAGAUCAAACCCUAAUUCUAGGUGAUGGUUGCAUAUUGGUCCUUUCUCAUGUUUAUUUGAUAAUUAAAAUUGAUACUUAAGAACCAUCAACAUGGUCAUCAAUCGCAGAGUUUGCUCCUGAGUGAGUUUGUCGCUAAUGAUCACAGGAAACUCUGGAUUAUUGUUUAGGAAAGCAUAGAUAAUACCGGGUGGUAAAGUUUUAAGCUCUAUGGGGGGUCUAGGUGUUUCUGCAAACUCAUCUAAGGGUUCAGGUUUAGAAGGUUCGGCUUCUUCUUCUAUGAAGAAAGGAGUUUCGUCUUCUAAGUCACAUUCUUCUAAAAGUUCAAGAGAUGCAGCCUUUACCUCCUCCAUAGGAUCAAGCAAAAGAUAUGACUCGGCCUUAUUAUUUAAGAAGUGUGAAAUUGUUAUUGGGAAUUUAAAGGCUUUUUCCAAAAGAAAUGUGUAGCUUUCUAGUAUGACCUUCAUAAAGGAGUCUUCUGAAAGGUUGUCCAAUCAAUAGGUCGAAGUCCCAUGUAUCAAAGAUUUAGAAGUUCAAAUGAACCAUGGAGCCUUCUACCGUAAGAGGUAGGACAUUAAUAAUUCCAAGGCUGGGGACUAAUCGUCCCGAAGAUUCCUUUAUGACCUUUGUUGUGGGGGUUAAGACAAGAUUUUUAAAUAGUUUAAGUGCAAAAGAUUAAGACAUGAUGUUGAUCCCCACAACCGGAUUAUAAAGAGCAUUAAAUCGAUCAGAAUUAUAAGCACAGCGUAUAGUUAUAGAGGGUGUGUCCAAACGGAUCACAUCAGAGGAAAGCUAUGAUUCCUCCAACCAUUCGCUACUCAUGACUGAGAUAAGCUCUCUCAAUUGAUAUUCACUUGGCAAAUAAAUGCUAAACUGGCCGUUUUGGGGUUUGUCAAUAGAAUGGUAGUUUGAAAUGUUUCAAAAAUCGGCAAAAAGAUCGGAUUCUAUAUCCAGCAUGAAGUCCGGUGGUGGAAUUUCUUCCUCUUGUGGCUCAGAACUUGGGAUAGCUAAAGUAGAUGAAGGAUUUGGCAGAGUGUCUACUUCGGCUUUGUAGGUUUCAUCAUGAAGGGUAUUAUCCAUCUCAGCUUCUAGGAUUCUAUCUAGGAUCACUCUAGCUUCAUCAGUAGGGAUGCGAAAGAAAGAAUCUCUAGACAUUGUGUGUAGCAUUUGUUUGUGAUUUUUCUGAAGACCUCAAAAAAAGUGAAAUAAAAGAACAGGGUCUUCAAGAUUAAGGUUUGGACCAGAUUCUAAAAGAUCAGAAAAAUGAUUCCAGGAUUUUCCCAAAGUUUCAUUAUCUUUUUGUUUAAAAGAUAGGACUUCGAGUCUAAGGUCGGCUAUACGGUCGAGGGAAUAGAAAUCUAGACAAAAGUUGGCUCGUAAAGCUCCCCAUUCACCUCGUUGUUGACUUACCUUCUGACUGUACCAUUGUCUAGCUUCUCCCCUUAAAGAAAAAGGAAAAAGCUUCCAAUGUAAAGUUUUAUCAGAAAUGCCUUCAAUGCGAAGACAAUCACAUGUUUGCUCAAAAUCUCUAAUAUGAAGGUAAGGGUUUUCGUCUUCCUUUCUCGAAAAAGAUAGGUUUUGAAUCAUGGCAAUCAACCUAGAACUUAACUUAUACUGGGAUGUUUGGAUAGGCUGUGAUGAUUCCCAUGGUAAAAGGUCAGUUACGGAAGGGAUAGCAGAUUCAUGGAUCGAUUUAGAAUUUUGGUUUUCCAUAAGGUAAGAGUAAAGAAAAUAAAUAAAUAAUAUAAAAGAUAAGAAAAGAUAAAAGUAUAGAUACAAGCUAGUAGUAAGACUUAAGGUAAUCUUAGCAAACCGUCUUUCUCCCCGGCAACGGCGCCAGAAAUGCUUGUUGAUAUUUGAGAACGCAAUAAGGAAUUGAUCCGCAAGCGCAUGGAUAUCGGUGAGCACUUCACCCGGGAGGUUAUCCAGAGUAUCGUAUUUAUUUUUUUUACCACUAGGAGAAAUAGUGCAUCUGACUAACCCGGUCUAUUACUACUAACCCUUUAGGCAACAAAGAAUGUUUCUCGAUGUGAGUGAUAAAUAGAGAAGACUGCAACCGUAGUCUCCUUCUAACCCUUGUAAGGAUGAUCUACUGUUCUAUUGGGGAGGCCAACGGAAUCUAGACACCACAGAGGAUGUUCAACCUGCACCUAUAAACCCUAUCCUUCCUGCUAACGAGAUACGGUCUGCAAAGGUAACUCGGAAAUGUCACGUUCCUCACUACUACCACGGUCUAGUUAGUCAGGGAAUUUUGAUGAGUACCCUAGCCUAAACACCACGUUUAUGCCAGCAAUGAUUACUCUAAACUCUACGCGAAGAGAUUAAAGUAAACUCAUAAACCAAAAGAACAAUAAAACAAGAACUUACUAGAAUUUAGAAGUCGAAAUACUGAAGAAUCCUAGGAGCAAGCCUCGGGUUAGGAGAACUUGAUCCCGCAGGUACAAGCUCGGAGUAGACACCGACAGGCCGGGCUUCCUCCAAUCUACACCUCCACUCUAUCUCUCUCAAUCUAGUAGAAACUAGAAGAUCUAUUUCUACUUACAUUGGUUGCUAAGCCUAAAAAGAAAUUUUAUUUAGAGAAGAGGUUUUCCUUCGAGGGCACCCCUCAACUCUAUGAUAACUUCUUGUCUCCUCCAGGGGCCAGGGGGUCUCUUUAUAUAGUCCUCCUCCUCUUUGCAUUUUUGGGUCGGUAGGCGAUGUGGUACUACGUUAUCCUUGAUCCUUUAGGUCGGUGGAACAACAUGUGCGAAGAGAGUCCUGAUUGGCAUCCAGAGGGGGGCGGGCGCCCAGGUCCUCAAGGCGGGCGCCCUGGGCCUGGCCCCUUUCGGCCUCUGCUUUCUUCCCGUGGCUUCUGGAGUCUUCUAGAUGGUAGAAAAUUGCGCGGUGCGUUGAUAUCUCUAUGUAAUCCUGACAUGUGGGCCUUUCUUCCUUAUUUCCUGAUAACCCCCUGCAGAAACAGAUAAACAACAAACUCGUGGAAUUCUGUCAGAUCAAACCCUAAUUCUAGGUGUUGGUUGCAUAUUGGUCCUUUCUCUUGUUUAUUUGAUAAUUAAAAUUGAUACUUAAGAACCGACAACAGAUAAUAUAUACUUAACUUUCGCUCUUUAAAGUUGUUAAUAAAUAGAGGUAAUAUGUCUACCUAAUUAUAAAACUCUAUCCCUUAACCUUGAAACAUAUAUAUUCUAAUAUUCAAAAUUUAUAUAUAUUUUGGCAGAUGGCUCGUACCCACCAGACAGCUCGCAAAUCAACUGGAGGUCGUGUCCCAAGGCACCAGUUGGCACCAAGGGAUCCGCCACCCUCCGACAGCAGCGACAGCAGCAAUGAUUAUUCCAGCGACGGAAGCGGGAGUGACACUAGAGGAGGUCCUCCUUCUCCAAGGACCUACAGGCACAUGAAGCAUGAUAUGCGUGUGAUGCUCACUGACAACAUCCAUCUGGAAGUUCGUCUGGACCACCUGGAGGGGUAUGUGGCCAAUCUUGAGGCCUAUACCAACACCCUCCAUGAGGAGGUGCACCUGCUGCAUAAUGCCCUCAACCCACACGAGGUUCCUGAAGCAGCAGAGGAAGAACCAGUUGUCAUCCAAGUGGAUAGUGACACUUCUGAGGAUGAAGCAGUGGAGCCGUAAAUUCCAGCUCCAGAUGAGGAUGGUAACGGAAGUGGAUCGGACAUGAACGAUGACUAGGGGUUGAAUAGGCAAGAAAUGUAACAUAGUGUGAUCUUCUGACUUUGUAACUUAGUUAGUCAGAACACCUCUAGUAUGGUUAGUUGUGUAAAAUAGUGGUUUCGAUAGUCCUGCCCAAGAGCAGACUUGUAUGAUAAAUAAAAUGAACAUCUUAUGCAUGUCAUGAUGUAUGAUGGUUAAGUAAGAAUGUUAAUCAAAGUAUGGUUUGUUUUAAACAGAUGCCUGCUAACACACGUGGAGCUAGUUCUUCUCAUGGUGGGGAUGAUUUCCCUAAUGCACCACCAGUUCCACCCUCUUUGGCUGAUGCAAUUGCAGCAUUGGUCAAUGCAACAACUCAGUUAGCACAGAACCAGAAUGUUGGUCAGCGUGGACGUGGUCGAAACAACAGAGAAGAAACCACAUAUGUUGACUUCAUAGAUACACGUCCUCCGGUGUUCACAAAAGCUGAUGAACCUCUUGAAGCUGAUGAUUGGCUCCGCACCAUGGAGCAAAAGUUCAGUCUCAUCAACUGUACUGAGACCCAGAAGCUAGCUUUUGCAGCUCAGCAGCUGAGACAAGCCGCAGGGGUUUGGUGGGCAAACCUACUGGCUGUUCAACCAGCCGGCCACCGAAUCACUUGGGCAGAAUUCAAGGAAGCCUUCAGGGCUCAUUACAUUCCCGAUGAAGUUAUGAAGAUGAAGCUUGAGGAGUUCUUAGCUCUCCGUCAGGGGGAUGAGCCAGUCAUGCAGUAUAUUGGGAAGUUUAAUCAUCUAUCCCAAUAUGCAAUUGAUCAAGUCAACACUGAUGAAAAGUAUAAGGCAUGUUUCAUGAGGGGCUUGAAUACAAAGCUCCAAUCAAUGAUGGCAUCAUGUGGCAAUAUAUCUUAUCAUGAGGCAGUGAACGUUGCUAUAUCCAGUGAAGAAAAGAACCACAAGCAUAACGAGGCUAAGAAGAAGAAAGGGAUUGUCUCAGGGUCCGGAUCAUCUGGCGGCAACAAGAAGCGCCAAAGGCUCGUAUAUCAUCCAGCUCUGCAGUUCCGCCCAUCUUAUCGUCCUUCUUAUUGUCUGCCUUAGCAGUAGAAUAUGCAGAGGAGUUUUGCAAGGCCAGCAAUGCCAUUCAUUGUUCAACGUCAGCCAAAUGUUCCUGCCAUCCGUCCGCCAGUGCCACAAGCUGCAAACAAUCCUUGUUUCAAUUGUGGGAAGAGUGGGCAUUUCGUUCGUGAUUGCCCAUACCCAAGGCAAAAUGUUCCAAAUGUCAAUGCACCAAGGCCAGUUGGAAAUCAGCAAACAAAUCAGAACAAAGGUAAUGCACAGAACCAUCAGAAGGGUAAGGGUACUUAGAAAACAGGAAGGGUUUUCCACACUCAAACCGAAGCUAUACCUGAAGGAGAACCAGUGAUGCUUGGUAUGUUCCCUGUUGCCCAACUCCCAGCGCUUACACUUUUUGAUUCUGGUGCAUCACAUACUUUCAUGAAUAGAACAUUUGUGGAAAAGCAUAAUAUACCUAUUGGUGCAACCACAGAUGAGUUCUUUAUACAGUCACCUGGGGGUCGACUAUGCACUAAGGAAAUGGUACAUCAGGUACCAAUAGACUUGGGUGGAUAUAUAUUUCCAACAUCCAUGAUAGUAUUAAAAGUGUUCAUAUUUGGGAACACAAUAAGGAAUUGAUCCGCAAGUGCACGGAUAUCGGUGAGCACUUCACCCGGGAAAUUAUCCAGAGUAUCGUAUUUAUUUUUUUACCACUAGGAGAAAAAGUGCAUCUGACUAACCGGUCUAUUACUACUAACCCUUUAGACAACUGUAAUCUCCUUCUAACCUUGGUAAGGAUGAUCUAGUGUUCAAUUGGGGAGGCUAACGGAAUCUAGACACCACAAAGGAUGUUCAACCCGCACCUAUAAACCCUAUCCUUCCUGCUAACGAGAUAUGGUCUGCAAAGGUAACUCGGAAUUGUCACGUUCCUCACUACUACCACGAUCUAGCUAGUUUGGGAAUAUCUCUGAGUACCCCAGCCUAAACACCACGUUUACGCCAGCAGUGAUUACUCUAAACUCUACACGAAGGGAUUAAAGUAAACUCAUAAACCAAAAGAACAAUAAAACAAGAACUUACUAGAAUUUAGAAGUCGAAAUACUGAAGAAUCCUAGGAACAAGCCUCGGGUUAGGAGAACUUGAUCCCGUAGGUACAAGCUCGAAGUAGACACUGACAGGCCGGCCUUCCUCCGAUCCACACCUCCACUCUAUAUCUCUCAAUCUAGUAGAAACUAGAAGAUCUAUUUCUACUUACAUUGGUUGCUAUGCCUAAAAAGAAAUAUUAUUUAGAGAAGAGGUUUUCCUUCGAGGGCACCCCUCAAUCUCUAUGAUAACUUCUUGUCUUCUCCAGGGGCCGGGGGGUCUCCUUAAUAGUCCUCCUCCUCUAUGCGUUUUUGGGUCGGUAGGCGAGGUGGUACUACGUUAUCUUUGAUCCAUUAGGUCGGUGGAACAUCGUGUGCGAAGAGAGUCCUGAACGGAGUACAGGAGGGGGCGGGCGCCCUGGGCCUCAAGGCGGGCGCCCUGGGCCUGGCCCCUUUCGGCCUCUGCCUUCUUCCCGUGGCUUCUGGAUUCUUCUAGAUGGUAGAAAAUCGCGCGGUGCGUUGAUAUAUCUAUGUAAUCCCGACAUGUGGGCCUUUCUUCCUUAUUUCCUGAUAACCCCCUGCAGAAAUAGAUAAACAACAAAACUCCUGGAAUUCUGUCAGAUCAAACCCUAAUUCUAGGUGUUGGUUGCAUAUUGGUCCUUUCUCUUGGUUAUUUGAUAAUUAAAAUUGAUACUUAAGAACCGUCAAUAAAAAGAUCCAAGUAUAGAUGUGAUCUUGGGUAUGAACUGGAUGAACCAGAGAGGUGCAGUCAUAGACACCUUAACUAGAACCAUCAAGGUCGACUUACCUAAUAGCAAGUCUCAACUUCUUAUCCAUCUUCCUACCUUUAAGAGAGCAAUUGAGCAAGUAUGUGCUACCUCUGUCAAGGAAAUCAAGGACAUUCCAGUGGUCUGUGAGUUUCCUGAUGUGUUUCCAGAAGAUUUACCUAGUCUGCCACCUGACCGUGAUGUGGAGUUUGGAAUAGAGCUCAAGCCAGGGACAGCACCAAUAUCCAGAAGAGCUUAUAGAAUGCCACUAAAAGAGUUAGCCGAAUUGAAAACUCAGUUGCAAGAUUUGAUGUUAAAGGUUUCAUCCGACCUAGUUCAUCACCAUGGGGUUGUCCGGCAAUCUUUGUGAAGAAGAAGGACAAUAUCUUGAGGCUAUGUGUGGAUUAUCGUCCCUUGAAUGAAGUAACAAUCAAGAAUAAGUAUCCUUUGCCCCGUAUUGAUCUUCUCUUUGAUCAACUUACUGGUGCUAAGGUGUUCUCGAAGAUAGACUUGAGAUCUGGGUAUCAUCAAAUUAAGAUCAAACGAGAAGAUGUUCUGAAAACACCAUUCACUACCAGAUAUGAUCUGUAUGAAUAUCUAGUUGUGUCCUUUGGUCUAACCAAUGCCCCAGCACAUUUCAUGUACUUGAUGAAUUCAGUGUUCAUGCUAGAGUUAGAUAAUUUCGUGGUUGUAUUCAUUGAUGACAUUCUCAUCUAUUCCAAAACUAAAGAAGAACAUGAAGAGCAUCUCAGGAUAGUGUUGACUCGCCUGAGAGAACAUCAGUUAUAUGCUAAGUUUAGCAAGUGUGAAUUCUGGAUAGAUAAAGUUCAACUUUUGGGUCAUGUCCUGUCAGCUGAAGGUGUUGCAGUAGAUCCAAGCAAAGUUCAGGAAGUUCUUGACUGGAAGUCACCAACUUCAGUACAUCAAGUUUGAAGUUUCUUAGGAUUGGUGGGGUAUUAUCACAGAUUUAUCCCUGACUUCUCCAAGAUCUCUAAACCAAUGACAACACUGCUAAAGAAUGAUACUAAGUUUGUGUGGUCAUCUGAAUAUGAAGAAGCUUUUCAGACUCUAAAAAAGUUGUUGACCACUGCACCAGUGCUAGCUCAACCUGAUAUUGAAAAAUCCUUUGAUGUAUAUUGUGAUGCUUCAGGCAAAGGCAUUGGGUGUGUAAUGAUGCAAGAAGGCAGAGUCAUUGCAUAUGCUUCACGACAACUUAAGCGUCAUGAAGAGCAUUAUCCAACACAUGAUCUAGAGUUGGCAGCUAUAGUCCAUGCUCUGAAGAUCUGGCAACACUAUCUGUUGGGUAAUACUUGUCACAUAUACACUGAUCAUAAGAGCUUGAAAUACAUCUUCACUCAGUCAGAAUUGAAUAUGCGUCAGAGAAGAUGGUUAAAACUGAUAAAAGAUUAUGAUAUUGAAGUACGCUAUCACCCAUGCAAAGCCAAUGUAGUGGCAGAUGCACUCAGUCAAAAGAGUCAUUGCAAUUGUCUGGAAGUCAAGCCUAUAGAUCUUACCUUGUGUCAUGAGUUUGAAAAGUUAAGCCUUGAAAUGAUUCCACAAGGAAGUCUUGCAAAUGUGACAGUUCAAUCAUCUAUCAAAAAUCAGAUUAUUGCAGCUCAGAAAGAAAAUAAGGGUAUGAUCUUCUUGAGAGAAAAGAUUCAGUCUGAGCAGAAUUCCAAGUUCAGAAUAGAUGAAGCUAGAGUGAUUUGGUUCAAGGAUCGUUUAGUAGUUCCAAAAGUUCCUGAACUCAGAAAGCAAAUUCUUGAUGAAGCUCAUGCAACAAGAUUUUCAAUACAUCCAGGCAGUAAUAAGAUGUAUCAUGAUCUGAAACAAAGAUUCUGGUGGACUAAGAUGAAGCUUGAAAUUACUAGUUAUGUGGCUAGAUGUGAUACUUGUCAAAAAGUGAAAGCAGUUCAUCUUAGGUCUGCUGGAGAAUUGCAACCAUUACCAAUUCCAUCUUGGAAAUGGGAUGACAUUAGUAUGGACUUCAUAGUGGGUCUACCCAGAACAUCAAAAGCGUUUGAUUCCAUAUGGGUCAUUGUUGAUCGUCUGACCAAAUCAGCCCAUUUCAUUCCUGUAAGAAAGAAGUAUCGAGCUUCUGUCUAUGCUAAGAUAUACUUUGACAAGAUUGUGAGUUUACAUGGUGUUCCAAAAACUAUCGUAUCUGAUAGAGGGACACAAUUUGUCAAUGUUUUCUGGAGGCACUUACAUAAGUCCCUGGGUACCAAACUUCUGCAUAGUACAGCUUAUCAUCCACAGACUGGGGGUCAGACUGAAAGAGUCAAUCAGAUCUUAGAAGAUAUGUUAAGAUCUUGUGUGCUCAGUUUUUUAGAGAAGUGGGAUGAAUGUUUGCCUUUAGCAGAAUUCUCUUACAAUAAUAGUUAUCAAGAAAGCAUUAAGACGGCACCAUUUGAAGCUCUGUAUGGCAGAAGGUGCAGAACACCUUUGAAUUGGUCUGAACCUAGAGAGCGUAGUCUCUUCGGGGUUAAAUUAGUCAAAGAAGCUGAAGAGAAAGUCAGGCUCAUUCGAGAGAAUAUGAAGAUAGCACAAUCCAGGCAAAAGAGUUAUGCUGAUAAGAGACGUCGAUCUCUUACCUUUGAGGUUGGUGAUUAUGUAUACCUCAAAGUGUCACCUAUGAAAGGAGUCACUCGAUUUGGAGUAAAAGGGAAGUUGGCACCUCGAUGUAUAGGUCCAUAUCAAAUCCUUGAAAGAUAUGGAAAGGUGGCAUAUCUUAUCGAGUUACCACCACAGUUAUCAUCAGUUCACAAUGUGUUGCAUGUCUCUCAGUUGAAGAAAUGCCUUCAAGUGCCUGAUCAUGUCAUUCAUGUUGAAGAGAUUGAGUUAGAGCCUGAUCUGACAUAUUCAGAGUAUCCUAUCAAGAUUCUGGAUCAAAAAGAUCGAGUCACUCAUAAAAGAACUGUCAAAUUCUACAAAGUGCAAUGGAAUCAACAUACCGAAGAUGAAGCCACAUGGGAGUUAGAAGAGUUUCUCUUAGAAUGUUUUCCUGAGUUUCUUUCUUCUGUCUUAUCCUUGUAAUCUGUAAUAUGAUGACCUAUCUUCUGCUUUUUGUAAAAGUUGGUAAUGGAAGUGCUUGUCAAAUUUCCUUUUCCAUUAGUUAGCCUACAAGUUAAAUCUCGGGACGAGAUUUCUUUAAGGGGGAAAUAGCUGUAACACUCUGGUGUUAAGCAGACUAAAACCUGACAUGUCAUCAUAUGCACUGGCAUUUCAUCUGAGUUGAUAACCUGAAUAUGCAUUCACUACAAACAAGUUUAAUUUCUCAUGCUUGUGCUUAGGGAAAUUAAAAUGUGCUUGCAAGGUGUAUUGAAGCUAGUGUGGUAGGUUUCCGAGAAAAUAGGGGUGGAGAACCCUGAAUUUUUUUAAACCCUGGAUUUGCCCCUCUGGUGCAAUUUAAAAACUAAGCAAAAUUUGAGGUUGAGUUCAAAAGCAAAGUUGUAGAUCUUGUCAAGAUGUACAACUUUGGUGUUUCGAGUUUUUGAAGUUUCAAUACAAAAUUCAAAGUAAUUUUGAAAAUACAGAUUUCCAAUAAUUAUCCCCUUUUCCAUUUUGAAUCUCCAAUUCAAAAUCUAUUUGAAAUCUUGAAAAGUGAACAACAUGAAAGUUGUAGAGCUCACCAAGAGGAACAACUUUCAUUUUGGGAAUUUUUCAAGUUAUUGAGAAAAAUCAAAAGUAAUUUUAAAAUUUCUAAUUUGCCCCAAUUCAAAAUUGGAAUUUCCCCAAUUUGAGAUUUGAAAUUCAAACUGUUUUGCUAAAUUCAAGUUUUUCCAUCUCACCAGUGCACCGUGUCCGCUUCGCCCACGACCCAGCUACUUCCUGGACCCCUCACCCCGCGCUCUAACCCCUUGAAGCUCCUAGUCGAGCCGUUCUUCCCCAGCUCCGGCCAUGUUCCGCCAUGAGCACCCUUCCUCGUGGCCAGACCGCUCCGUAAGGUAUUAAGCCGAGGUGAGAGAUGUUGGAGCUUCGCCGUGCUGUCCUGUAACUCAUGCGCUUUCUCUUUUUCCCUAGACGCAAGCAGGAUCACCAGAACGACCUCGCUGAGCUCGGAGCGCCCGCUCGACGGCACCGCCUCCGUCGCCAGCAGCCUCGGCUACCUCCCCGAGCCCCGCAACGUGAGCACCACACCCUCUAAUAUUCUUGGAAGCUCGCUAGCAUGUUCGUUUGCGCUCUACCGAGCCCUAGCGGGCGGUCUACGGGUGACCGCCACGGCCGUCCGCCAUCCGUGUAGCCAAGGAAGAAAGAAGAGGGUAGAGCGUCCGCGAGUGAUAGCUAUGGAGUCGCGAGGUCGAUGCGGAGCUGUUGCGCACCCUAGCGCGGGCUCAGACCUCGCUAGCGGUGGCCGGAGUUGCGGCAGAGCCGCCGCGCGCGAGGAAGGAAGAGCUGACGGGUGGGGCUACCCCGUCAGCGACCUGCAGAGAGGAGAGAGAGCGGGUUCAGCAGGUGGACCGGCGUGGGCCGAGGUUAGGCGGGCCGGCCACUUUAGCACAGUGCGGUUUUCCCUUUUCUUUUUUGUUCAAAAUUGCAUGAUGUUUGAAUUUAUGUAGAAAACUGUUUGCUGAUCUAAAAAUGAUAAAAAUAUUUGUGUAGGUUCUAUAAAAUGAGUAGAACACAGGAAAAGUAUUAGAUUCUAUUUUCUGGUAGCUUGCAUGUAUAUAAAAAUUUCCUCUUUUCAUUAAUAAAUAAACCUUCCAUGAAUUUUAAUAAUUUAUGGGUAUAUCCAAAAAUCACCAAAAUUUGUGAGAAGUCUCUGAGUAUUAUUCCCUGGCCUCACACAAAGUUUGGUAUCAUCUGGAUAAAGUUUGAAUAAAAUCAUAUUAUACCCUUAAUUAAUAAUUUAGUAAUAAUUCCAAAAUAAUUAAGUAUUAAUUAGCUUAAUUUCUCAAAUUAGGGUUUGAGUGACUUUGGGAUUAUAUGAUGACCUAAGGUCAUUAACCUUAAUGACCUUUGGCACUUAAUUAUUGUUUGAUGUUAAUACUUAAUUACUGCCAUUAAUAUUUAAUUAAGAAUUGAUUAAGAUAAAUAGAAAGCCUAAUCAUUUUAGGUUUUGAUUGAUCUUUGGGAUUGAUUGACAACCAGUGGUUACUUGGCAUGACAUGCUCCUUGGUUAAGGAUUCAUUCAUGUAAAUGAUCUUUGUUGCUUAAUAACUUCACAACAUUGCUUAAUGAAGAUGAUAAAAUUUGCUUAGUAGUAAUCUAUGCUUUGAUAACUAAGUUUGUUUCUAUACCAUGAAGGUAAGUUGUACUCGAGGUAGUUAUGUUUGUUGUUAUCAUCCAAGAACAUGUAACCUGUCUUUAUCAGGUCAUGAGUAUCUCAUUGAUCAUGCAUAUGCACUUCUACGUGUAGACUACGCUCCGGAGGAAUCUGAUCCUCAGUGGGUUGCUUCUGAGUUUGUAGAUCCAUCUGUUUUUCCUGGUAUUUCUAAGUUAUCGGACUUCCCUUCCCACGAAGGCAAGCCCCGGACAUUAAACCCCAUCCUUGUAUUUUCAUAAAGUUAUUUAUAUCAUUUGAGUUAAUAUGAUACAUUAGGUGAAUAGGAUUUGGGUGUAUCCUAUUUGCUGCAUUACUUACCUUGAUGAUUCCAAUAUUAACCUUGACACCUGUUUUAUGAAAAUGCUUAGUAUGCUUAAUCAUGCUUUACUUAAUUAAUGAUAGUAGGUGUUUUUAAAAUGGUUCAUAUGUUAUGACAAUGACGAAUCUUGGGAUAACAUGAUAAUUAUAGUAACUUACUUCAAGAAUGGAGUCUUGUUGUAAUGUUACUCAACAUAGGACCAUAUCGUUGUUGGCCUGCUGUGAUUGAGACCUUUGAGUACAGCCCACAUGCGGUGGUAAGCCUUACCUAUAGCUAUUCCGAUACUUCAGAACGGCCAACCGCGUACUGGGAGUGGAGAGAUGGCGGGAGUAGCGUGUACCCACCUUACGAAGCUGAGAUGACCGGGAAACAUCUAGAUUGGCUGUAGGAUGGUGGUGUACUGUACUCUCGGGUGACGCUCGACCCGUUCUUGUAUGGGAGGAUCUAUAGAAACAGGUUGACAUAUGCAAGAUUAAGUUCUACAUAUGUCGUGUGAUACUGAAUCCCCAGCUGGGUUUAAUCGAUUCGAACCGCCAUGUUUCCUCGGAUAUGGAGCCUCAGUCCUCACCCCAUCACCGUAGUAAUAAAUGGAUCUUUGGUAUAAGAAAGAUGUGGUAUGCUUAUGAAAGUUUGAUAAUAAUUUUGGUUAGUCAUAAAUGAUGAUCUUGAGUUAAAACGUGAAAGUAGGUUUUACUCUUAGUAAGCUUUUAUGCAAAAGAAAUGCUUUCGAUCUUGCUAAAGCCUUAACUUGAAUCCCUAUAGCCUGCAUACCUGAGUCUUCACCUCUUUUCUAGUUGGUUAAGUCUUGUUGAGUACUUUUGUACUCAGGGUUUGUUAACCCCUGUUGCAGGUGAACCUUUUGAUCAGCCUUUUGAUGGUCAUUGUUACUUCACUCUUGUGGAAGAGAGUGAUGAUGAUGAAUCUGAUGUGUGACCUUGGGUAAGUAAAACAAGUUGUAUGCUUAUGGUAUAUGUAAUAUAAAGUUCCGAACCUUUUAUGUACUAAAUACAUAUGGUUUGUAACCUUUGGACUUAUGUUUCAAUCUAUGUUAUAUAACCUUUCCGCUUUUACUCUGAUUUAUCUCAUCUAUGAAAAUGUUGUCAUACUGUGAUGCUUAAUGAGGGAAUUCUUGGAAAGAAUGUAACGUGGAUGAUUCGGGUUUACCAAGGACACCCGACAAAUUUCUUGAGUCAUUUGGAACUCGUGCACGCCGAUCAGAAGUCUUUGAGACAAUGAUGGGUGCAUGUGGGCCACUUAAUUCAGGAGGUUCUGCCACAUGAACUGCGGAUGAACAGGAGUGUAGUAAAAAUACAGGAGAGAAGUAGAAUUGACCUCAGGCACGAUGAAGUUGAUGGCCAUCUCCUAGUAGGGGAGGAGAUUGAGAACUUGGGGGUUGUUGGAGGAGGUUCUUGUUGAAGUUCUUGGAGCUCUCGAACAGUGCUGCCGCCAGAAAAGCAGAGUUGGGGCUAUAGAAUGAUGCGAUGGAGAAGGAGUACCCGAGAAGGAACUAUUUAUAGGACAAAACAGGCAGGGGCAAAUCUGACUUAUCUCUUCGCCGUAUCUUUGAAAUCCGAGGAUACUCAGGUGAAUAUGGUAACUGUUCGCACGGUAAUCAAGGGAUUGCGCAGGUGAUUUGAUGGGAAGCGGUCAUAAUCUGGAGAUAUUUUACUGUGCGGGAUUUCCUGGUCGGUCCAUCGGCAGCUCCUUCUAACGGUAAUAUUGCCGAUGGGCGAAUAAAGUGGAGAUGUCCAGUUUGGGAGGUUGAGGAAUUCGAGGAAUCUGCGGAACAAUCAGGCCAGUGUUGUUCGAUUUCAACGGUCGGUUACCAAAUUGAGAGGAUUAAUUGCGGAAAGGCAUCAUUACUGUAGAGAAUUUCAGAGCAUUAAUGAUUUUAUACUCCGAAAUUGGGGGGCAUGUGUUGACACCGUUUUUGGACACGUACCCAGGAUCGGUAGAGUAUAGAAUGGCAAGAUAGGGCAACAGUAACUGGUCUGCAGGGGAGUUGCCGAUGAAGGUGGUUGUCGAUGAAGGGACACCUGAAUAUGACUAAGUCCAUGAGUGGUGACGCGUUCAUGACGAUGGUCAGCGUUAGCCUUUGUCGAUGGCUACGAUCAGGAGUCUGCCGAUGACUCAGAAGGAGAACAUGAAGGUUGCCGAUUGGUCCAUGGUGGUGUCCCGGUUUGUCACGGGAGGAUAGUUUUGUUCUUUCCUUAGUUAUUUAAAUCGUUUUAUAUGCGAAUUCUAUUUAAUUUAGAAUUCGAGUCCUAGUCGUGUCUGAUUGUAGCUCUUUGAGCAGGGUAUAAAUGUAGACCCUAGGGCCUUGUAAUGAUCUAUCUAUCAAUCAAUCAAACACAAGUUUUUACUCAUAUUCCAACAUCUACUUUUUCGACAAUUUCGUCAUAUUUUACUUUUCAUUACGAGUUCUUAGGAGUUCGUCGACUUAAGCUCGGCGUAUUCUCGAGUUCCGCGUGAAUACCUCUUGGCCGUGGCAUCCGGGCGCAUCGCUGUUGUCGGGACCAAAGUAUUCGAGUUAUCACCUUUGCCGAUAGUAAGGUCAAAUCUGCUGGCACGCCUUAACGUUUGAAUCAGGUAUUAGCCCUUUGUGUUUGCAGAUCCACUUUUUUGCAGCAACAUAAGUAAAGGACUAAAAACACGAAUUUUACCAGACAAAUUAGAUAUAAACUGCCUGAUAAAAUUUACCUUGCCGAUCAAAGACUGGAGAUCAGUUCUGUUGGUAGGAGCAACUAUCUUAUUGAUGGCAUCAAUAGAUCUCCUACUAAUUUCAAUUCCUCUCUAAUGCACCAUGAAACCAAGAAAUUGCCCUGCCGAUACACCAAAUGCACACUUGUUAGGAUUCAUCUUUAAACCAUGUUUCCUUGUGCACUCCAACACCUUUCGCAGAUCGGCAAGAUGCUUUGUGAAAUCCCUAGACUUAACCACUACAUCAUCAAUGUAAAUUUCUACCAACUUGCCGAUGAACUCAUGAAAAAUAAAAUUCAUAGCCCUCUGAUAAGUAGCCCCAGCAUUUUUUAAGCCAAAGGUCAUGACUAUCCAUUGAAACAACCCAACAUGACCAGGACAUCUAAAUGCGGUCUUUGGAAUAUCUUCUUCAGCCAUGAAUAUCUGAUUAUAUCCUGCAUUGCCAUCCAUAAAGGUAAUGAUCCGAUGUCCAGCCGCAACAUCAACUAGCAAAUCGGCAACUGGCAUUGGAUAACCAUCCAUCGGCGUAGCCUUGUUAAGAUUCCUGAAAUCAAUGCAAACUCGAAGCUUCCCAUUUUUCUUGUAAACUGGACCGACAUUGGAAAUCCACUCGGCAUACCGACACUGCCGAAGAAAUUUAGCUUCGAUAAGUUUAGUUAUUUCAGCCUUAAUAUCAGGAAGAAUAUUAGGAUUACAUCGGCGAGCUGGCUGUGAUGUGGCCAAAAUCUAGACUUGAUAGGUAAGCAAUGUUCAACGAUCGAUCGGUCUAAACCAGGCAUCUCAGUAUAAUCCCAAGGAAAGCAAUCCUUAUAUGCCUUUGACAAAUUGGUUAACUGUUGCUUACACUCAGAAUCUAACUUAGCACUAAUAAACGUAGGUCUUGGCUUAUCACCAUCACCUAUAUCUACUUCUACUAAAUCAUCGGCCGAUGUAAACCCCUGGCCUAAUUUUCCAUCAUGAGCGAACCUAUCCAUUAAAACUCCUCAUCAGAACCGACUGCUUGGAUCGGUGGAAUUUCAUAAUCGGCAACCUUGAGGAAAUCCUUCUCCCAAAUUUCUCCUGAGAUGCACCAGGUCCUCUCAUAAGUAUCUGCCUCUGCCGAUGCAAUGACAUACGGAGAAUCUCAUGGGACAAUUUCAAUCUUGUCGCCUACCCACUGAACCAAACACUAGUGCAUAGUAGAUGGGAUGCAACAAUUGGCAUGAAUCCAAUCUCUCCCCAACAGUAGGUUAUAAGUGUUGACACUUGUUAAUACCACUUGAAUACUAGGUUGUUAUCCCCAGCAUGGCACUAGAGUGUACUAUGGUAUUUAUACGCACACAGAUAAAUCCGCAAGCGCACGGAUACCGUUGUAGCUUUUAUCUGGUUAAAGGUUUUAUCGUAUCCACAGGGAAAUGGAAGAACUGAUCUACGCUCUAACUUAACCUAGAUAGAUAAGUAGGUGUAAAUAGGAAAAAUGGUAGAAUUGAAUAAGAACAAUAUUAAAGGUAAGAUAACAAUGGGUGAUAAUAUAGGAAUAGAUAGUAGAGCAAUCUAGUAUAUGGUGAUGGUAGGAGAAUAAAGAGGAUAACUAUGGUUUCUCUACUUCAAAGGGGUAUGUCUAUGUCUGGGACGAACCACAUGAUAAGAAUACAUCACAAAGGAUGCUUAUCCAUAGGCCGAUAAACCCUACCCAUCCUGCUAACAGGAGGUGGACUAUAGGGGACCAACGUAACUGUCACCUACACGGCGUACCACACGAUCCAGCUAGACAGGGGAUAUCCACAAGUAAUCUAGGUCUAAGCACCACGCUUACACCUAUACUACAACUCUCACCUAUAGCGUCCUAUAGAUUAAAGUACUCAAAAGAGUUGUGAACCAUAACAUACAUGGAUAGUAAUUGCAUAAUGAAAUAGAAGUAGAUUACUAGAGUCAUCCCAUGAGCAAGCAUGAUUAGAAAUUGAUCAUGGCGAAGUACAACCGGAGGAAGAACCGACAGGCCGGCCUCUCCUCCAAUCCUCCCUCGCUCUCCAUCUCGCUACUAUCUAGAUCUACUCUAGUUUAUAGAAGAGAAGAGAGCUCUCAUCUCCAGACCCUAGCUUUUGCUUUGUCUAUGAAUAAUGAAUAAGGAUCAAGGGGUGCCUCCUCUAGGGGCCAGGGGGUCUGCUUAUAUAGUCCCCUCAAGUGAAUCUGGGCCAUCGGAUCAAACCGACAUUAAACGCAUGAUUUUCCUUAAUCCUUUAGGUCAGUGGAGCAUAAUCCGCGAGACGGAACCCGAUUGGUUCCUGUAGCUGGGUGGGCGCCCUGCCCCCGAGCCCGCUCGGCUUCCCGUUCGUUUCCGUGGCUUCUAGAGUCUUCUCGAUGAUAGAAAAUUGCGCGGCAUGUUAAUAUCUCUAUGUAAACCUGACGUGUGGGCCUUUCCUCCAUAUUUCAUGAUAACCCCAUGCAGAAAUAGACAAACACCAAAACUCGUGGAAUUCUGUCAGAUAAAACCCUAAGUCCGGGUGUUGGUUGCAUUUGGAUCCAUUUUUUUAUUUAUUUGAUGAUUAUAUUUGGUACUUAAGGACCGUCAACAACUCCCCCAAGCUUACCUCUUGCUCGUCCCUGAGCAAGGAUGGACUCAAGAGUUUCUACAGUGGUUUUAUGCCUUAAAAGUACAUAUGCGUUCAAGCAAGAUCUCAUCUCUGAGUUAGAGUAAACUGUUAAGACUUAAACUUACUCAUUUUACCUUUCACCAUGGGGCUUGCAACCGUCACUUAUGUCUUGAGCAGUUAAAAGAUAGAAUGGUCAAGUCAAGCGCCAUGUCUCUUGUUCUUUGAUCAACUAUAGCUCUGGAGUUUUUGCAGAUUUUCAAAAUAAAACUCAGAGAUUCCUUGUAUGACUCUCUCAAUUCUCUCUUUUGUGGUAUUUUUGGAUCCUUACCAAGGCAGUAAUGGUAUAUGCCUUCUCUCAAAGUAUGUGGUAUUUUUGGUAUGAGGCAUAGUGACAUUGCUUUCUCUCUCACCCUACUCUAAUAAGGUUUUGAUAUCUGGAGCUCAUAGGUGGGAGACAGCUAAUACAUAUUUACAAAGACAUUUAUUGCAUAGUCAAACCAUGGAUCCAGAGAAACAAGUCAAUAAGUCAAUAUCAAGAUGUGCAUGUGUGGCGAAUGAAUGGUGUAUGGUGAUGAUGGUGAUAAUGGUGAAAACAAUGGUGAAAGUCUAAUUCUACUUUUGCUCUUUUGAGGGGAUACAUACCUUUCUUGCAUUUUUAAGCUUUUUGAGGGGAAUGAGAUGCUCUAUAUUUUCUUGUUUUUUUCUCAGGUAGGUAUCUUGUACCCCUAAUUCUACUGUCGGACACUUGUCAAUUUUUACCUCUCGUCUCACUUUUUUCUUUUCUUCGAUGUUCCGGGCACUUGCCCCUUUCUAUUUCCUCGUAUUCACUCUCUCUCUUUUUUCAGAGCACUCACCCUCCUGGAAUAAUGUAGCAUGUGGUAGUAACCAAAAUAUCUCGAGCAUUUAUUUCUAGGGGAAUAACAGGGAUAGGAUAAUGUUUUUGGCUAUUCUCUCCUAGAUAGGAGUAAAAUAAUUUUGGGUAAAUCUAGAGAUGGAAAUGAGUGGAUGUAUGUGGAUGCAUACUUUCGGAGUAGAAGCAGCAUGUAUGAGUGAACGUGCAAGUGAGUCUUGAUUUUAACCGCAUGACAAGCUCCUAAGGGUCUACAUAGUUUGACCACACUCAAUGCUCAUAAGCAAUAAAAAGUAAAUGUAUCGUUCAUAGUCUAAUAAGCAUGUAUAUGUGGCUGUGGUAGGAUUUUAAACUCUCAUCAUACAGGAACUCAUCAUGCAACAUUUUAAAGAUUUUCAAAGAUAAGAUUCUCCAUAAUUCUAGCAUCUCUAGGAACAGAUAAAUAGCAGCUCAAUCUUCCCAUAUCGUAUUCGUUAACGACUUAGACUUUAGAUCAAGUACUCUUCCCACAAGUUCAGGUUUAGAGCAAAUCUUAAUUCAUAACAGUCAUGCCUAAACUUGUGAGAGAUUUCAAUUUUGGGAACUAGGCAGAGCAACUAUUCAUUAUUUCCAUGUGAGAGCUUAUCAUAAGAGUUCAUAGCAAACUUUAUUUAUUUAUUUAUGUAUUUAGCAAACUAAGCAACGAUAUAUAUAUAAGCACAAAAAUCUUUAUUUGGGUUUUUAUGAUUAUGCAUCCUUUUAUUAUUUGAGUAAAGUAUAAACGCGAGUAGAAACACUUAGCUGGGUAAAUGGGGGUGCUCUCCCCCAAGCUGAAUUUUGAUGUAAUAUCUUCUGAUGUAGCUAGCAGGUGGCGGAGGCGUAUUUGAAUGUCGGCAGCACCCUGACAGCGAUUAGGAUGUCCUCCGUCAGCUAGUCUUCUUUGAUCCUUGAAUUCUGUGGAGCUCAAAUAGACAACAAAGCUUUGUGGAACUAGUUAAGUGUUAACAAAAAUAUCUAACCUUUAUCAUGUUGAGCUUCCUCUAAUAAAUAUUACUCUCUUUGGUAGGAUCAUAAAUUUAUUUUUAUAUUUUCAUUUCUAUAGGACAGGAAUAUAUUUAUUUUAUUUUUACACCACCACACUGAAUGUACUUUUGGGUUUUAUGCCACGAGCAUACUCACAAGGGGCUUACUGUUUUAACAUUUUUAAUUUCUUUUCAAGAUAGCAUGAUUAACUGACAAGCUAUUUAUGGAAAGUAAAUAAUUUAAGGGAAAAGAGAAUGUAGAAAGGAUAAAUAUGGAUAACUACAGAUUUUACCUUUCGGUGAGGGUUCAAUGAACAAUACUUCUCACCGUGUUCAUUCUUUAGCUGCGUCUUUUGAUUCAGGUGCGGACUUUGACAUCUGCACCUCUUGAUACAGUGUCACCCAUGUUCUUCGUUUGCCCAGCAGUUCGAAGUGCGGCGUUGGCAGCAUCCUCCUCAGUGUGUUUGCGCUCGUAGAUCCAGGUCCUUCACUUGGUGGAAUCUGGGAGUUGUAAAACUCCUUCCGGUUUUGCUCGAAGUGUACCUGCUCAUAGAGACAAGGCAGAGAUCAAGUGCAUGGGCCCUGUUGGUGGAAAACACCAACAGAACCAAAAGUGUAUUUGUUCUUCUCUAACCUUAAGCAUAGUGAGCAAGACAAAUUUGAUGGAUAAUAAGAUCAUGAGUGUAGUAUUUAAAACAUUUGUCAGAUCAGAUCGCUCAACCUAAUGGAAAGAUAAUCUAUCUAUAUUUAUGUUUUUUUAUAUAUCUUCCAAAGAUUGAGUGUGCAACAUUUUAGCUCAUAUGAUUAGGAGUGUGGGAUCACAAAGGUGGAAGGAUUAAACAUGUUGAAUCGAUUGUGUUGGUUAACCUAGUGUUGUAAAUCAUACACGUUUGUCUCUUUUAUUCAUAUGAACGCCAGAACAAAGGAGAAGCUUAAUAAAGUGAUAGUCAAGUACCUUAAGAUGUUACCUUACAUGAAGAGUGACGGUACAGUAUCACCUUGUGGAAGCUUUCCUUUCUUAGCGGUUGUGCAUCGUGUUUGUGGAACCCUCCAUGGAUCAUCUCUUAUAAGCUACGUCUUCGUUGUGUAAAUUGUUAAACUUGAUGUAUCUCUCUAUUUGUCUCCAAUGUGAGUUUAUCUCAGGACUUCCCUUGUGCUUGUCAUUCAUCCAAUCUUCUUGCUCCAAUCCUGGAAAGGUUAGUGACAAGAAUACCCGAUGGAAUAUUUUUACAAUUAUCCUUAUAUGCUCAAUACACAAGGUAAUGUUGUAAAUAAUUAAAUGCUCAUGUUACAAUCUGAUCAGUGCUUAUUUUAGGACACUAAGCUUGGCCUUGGGAAACCAUCAAUUUAUGUCGGCGAAGUGAUUUCCCUUCCAACGCUGACCUAUAUCAAGAUCAACUCAACGAGAUCUGCAAUAUUUAUUAUAGACAUAUGCAUCGACAACCCCCCUUUUAAUGUUUUUAUAAAUAGAAAGGAAGAGGGGCUUGGAGAUCUCAAAUGUGGUGAUGUUGGAGAGACCAAUAGAUUGGGAAGAUGUUGCAUGUGAGCAUGGAGUAAAUGAAGUGGCUAUGAAAUAAAUUCCAUGCUCAUUAAUGUUAUCUUCGUCUCCAAUCUGAAUGUUCGGAGUUUCUCCUGGAUUGGUCUCACCUAUGUCCUCUUCUGUAGUUGGAUGAAUCUCAUCUUCAAAGGGAGUCAAGAACUCACCAUUUGAAAUUGAGCCAAAGUCAGAAUCCAUUAAGGCUUCUUCCUUAUCCAUCCAUUCUACACAUUCUAGCCAUUUAGAACUCGUGACCAGGAAAGGGGAGGUGUUAGAAUUUUCUAUAUGGCUUAGCUCUCCUUCUAUGACAUUACUUGACAUGUCAUCCUCAUGGUCUUUAUGACUCCUAUGGUUUGAUCGUCUUAAUGGAUUAUUAGGAUCAUCAUGAGACUCAAAAGGAGAGGGAUAAGAGGGGUCUCUAAGGUCAAGGAUGGAUUUAGAAUUUGUGAACAUGGAAGCGGAGCAGAUAGAAUCUUCUAUAUGGUUUAGCUCUCCUUCACUUGAUAUGUCAUCCUUGACUUCUUCAUAACACGAACCAGGACAUUCUCAAAGAGAACCAUUAUUGCAAGGAUUUGAAUUAUCCCUGCUUGAAGGUCUCUUAUGGAACCAAAAGUCUAAACCAUCAGCAACUGAAAGAUUUAAGGUCAGAAUUCCUUCCUCCCUUGGAGAAUUUUGGGGUAUUGAUGGUUUAGGAUCGAUAGAUAAAGUUUGGGAUUGAAGUGGUUGUGAUCUGGCUAUCAAAACUUCUUCUUUUUGUCUAGGAACUGGUUCUUUCUCUUUCUUAGGGAUAUAAAUGCUAGGAAACUUUCCACUCAAUGAAUCAAUUAAAUCCCUAGCUUCACUAGCAGGUAGGUGAUAGAAGGAUCCUCUAGAGGCUGUAUUCAAGGUUUGCUUAUUUUCCCUACUAAGGCCCUCAAAAAAGUGAAUUAGAAGAACUUCUUCUGGAAUAGAAAGCUUUGGGCCAGUGAGAGUAAGGUUAAUGAAGCGGUCCCAUGAUUUGCCAAGAGAUUAUUUUUCCAGUUGUCUAAAAGAAAUAAUCUCACGCCGAAGUUCCGCCACUUUGGAGAUUGGAAAAUAUUUAAAAAGAAAAUUAUUACAUAACUCCUUUCAAUCUCCAUGAACACUCUCUACUUUGAGUUUAUACCAAUGUCUAGCUUUUCCUGUUAAAGAGAACGGAAAGAGCUUCCGUAUAAGGGUCUCAUCGGACAUGCCUUCUAUGCGAAGGAGGUAACAAACUCGAUAAAACUCUCUUAGGUGUGUGUAUGGAUUUUCUUCACCUUCUCCUGAGAAAGGUUGUUUUUGAACAAAUUCUAUGUAUUCGGGGUCUAUCUCAAAACUAGAUGCUAUGAUAGGCUUUGAAGAUUUUGGUGGUUCGAGAUGUAUGCCCGUAGGUCUAUGAAACUGAUAGAUAGACAUGUUUGCAUUCAUGAUAGACCAGAGAUCAAGGAUUAGAUAAGAAGAAAGAAUAGCAGAGAUAAGGCAAAAGAUAAAAGGAAAAGUAUAUUUUUUCUUAUUUUUUUUAGAAAAAUGAUUAAGCUAGUUCAUAGUCAACUCAGCAACCGUUUCCCCGGCAACGGCGCCAAAAAUGCUUGCUGACACUUGCUAAUACCACUUGAAUACUAGGUUGUCAUCCCCAGCAUGGCACUAGAGUGUACUAUAGUAUUUAUACGCACACAGAUAAAUCCACAAGUGCAUGGAUACCGUUGUAGCUUUUACCCGGUUAAAGGUUUUAUCGUAUCCAUAGGGAAACACGCUCUAACUUAACCUAGAUAGAUAAGUAGGUGUAAAAAGGAAAGAUGGUAGAAUUGAAUAAGAACAAUAUUAAAGGUAAGAUAACAAUGGGUGAUAAUAUAGGAAUAGAUAGUAGAGCAAUCUAGUAUAUGGGCGAUGGUAGGAGAAUAAAGAGAAUAACUAUGGUUUCUCUACUUCAAAGGGGUAUGUCCAUGUCUGGGACGAACCACGUCAUAAGAAUACAUCACAAAGGAUGCUUAUCCAUAGGCCGAUAAACCCUAACCGUCCAGCUAACAGGAGGUGGACUACAGGGGACCAACGUAACUGUCACCUACGCGGCCUACCACACGAUCCAGCUAGACAGGGGAUAUCCACAAGUAAUCUAGGUCUAAGCACCACGCUUACACCUAUACUACAACUCUCACCUAUAGCGUCCUAUAGAUUAAAGUACUCAAAAGAGUUGUGAACCAGAACAUACAUGGAUAGUAAUUGCAUAAUGAAAUAGAAGUAGAUUACCAGAGUCAUCCCAUGAACAAGCUUGAUUAGAACUUGAUCAUGGUGAAGUACAACCGGAGGAAGAACUGACAGGCCGGCCUUGUUGGGUAUUCUUAACAUCAUUACCAAAAGUAGACUUAGUUUUCUAAUUCUGAUAACGGUGCCAAAAAUGCCAAACCUAUCUCUCAUACCACUUAAGCCAAGUUGUCAUCCCCAGCAUGACAUGAGAGACGCGGUAUUGAAAUAUGCAGUUGCUCUUCUAAAUAAAUAAUGAAUGGGAUCUGCAAGCGCACAGAUUAAUACCGAUGUAGCAGUUUAACCGGGAAGUAUUCGAGGUAUCGUUAUUUAUAUUUUUACCACUGGGAAGGGAUUAGUAACCAUCAAUGUUGAUUAUAGAAUAGAAUAUGAGAUUGAGUAUCUAUCAUUGCAUGUAUAAUUGAGAACAUUUAUCUAACUUUUCAUACAGGGAUAAGUGUCACAUAAAAGAUAUAUGAAAUAAUGAAUAGUGAGAAAGAUAACUAAUCUGAUCAGCAUAACUUAGCCACAUAUAAAUAUGAUAAGCACCUCAAUUAGAUAUUCUAGCAAGUCAUUAGCAUCGUAUUAGAAUGAACUACAAGAAUAUUUCCUAAGUUAUUCUCAACUAUAUAGUCUAGCAUUAUCAUAGUUAGUGCAAGCAUACUUAGCAAUCAUUGCAAGACAAGACUACGCCCAUGCAUAGUGAUAUUAGUAAGGAAUAUGAGAAACAUAGCAAUCACUCCCCUGUAAUAAUGUUGCUCUGCCAGCCCAAUACAUCAGAGGGGGACUAUAUAAGAAUCAAUGAAGUUGUCACUAUCACGAACUACCCCACGAUCUGGCAUAUUGGGUACAAUCGCAGAUAAAUAUGGUAUAAGCACCACACCUACACAAUAUCUAACAUUUACCCAUGGAUCCGAUGGAUAAACGCUAUACGAUCCUAAACAUAUAUAUAGAUCAAAUCUAACUAUGCCAAGUAUAUAACUAUGAUAAACUAAGAACAAUAUAAUCUUGAAUAUAAACAAGUAGAGCAAAGUCAUAAGCAAUAUAUUGAAGUAGAACAAAGUCAUAUUCAUAAUAUUGAAGAACAAAGAUGAAUAAUUAGAAGAACAAUUAAAGAAUUACCAAGAAUCCUCUUGACAGAUCCGGAAACCAAUCGAAGAUUGACUCCUAGUUCUAAUCCUAUGUAGCUAUGCUAAUCUAGAUGUCUAAUUGAUGUGGUGUCUCUAAUCUUGAUCAGAGGCUUCUUCUCCCUUGAGGAAUAAUGAAUUAGGGUUGAGAGGCUCUCUCCUCCAGGGGCCAGGGGGUCUGGUUUUAUAGUCCCUUCAAGUGAAUAUGGGCCGUUGGAUCAAACCGACAUUGAUUGAACGGUUAUCCUUGAUCCUUUAGGUCGGUAGAGAUUUAUCCCGAAAGAGAGUCCUGUUUGGACUCCAGGAGGGGGCGGGCGCCCAGGUCAACUGGGCCCAGGGCCUAGCUCCGUUCGGCCUCCGCUUCCUUCCCGUGGCUUCUGGAGUCUUCUAGAUGUAAGAUAAUUGUGCAGCACGUUGAUAUCUCUAUGUAAUCCCGACGUGUGGGCCUUUCUUCCGUAUUUCCUGAUAACCCCCUGAAGAAAUAGACAAACACCAAAACUCAUGGAAUUCUGUCAGAUAAAACCCUAAGUCUAGAUGUUUAUUUCAUUUGGAUCCCUUUCUUUGUUUAUUUGAUAAUUCAAUUUGAUACUUAUGGACCGUCAACAGGCCUCUCCUCCAAUCCUCCCUCGCUCUCCAUCUCGCUACUAUCUAGAUCUACUCUAGUUUAGAGAAGAGAGGAGAGCUCUCAUCUCCAAACCCUAGCUUUUGCUCUAUCUAUGAAUAAUGAAUAAGGAUCAAGGGGUACCUCCUCCAGGGGCUAGGGGGUCUGCUUAUAUAGUCCCCUCAAGUGAAUAUAGGCUGUCGGAUCAAACCGACAUUAAUCGCACGGUUUUCCUUAAUCCUUUAGGUCGGUGGAGCAUAAUCCGUGCGACGGAAACUGAUUGGUUCCUGUAGCUGGGCAGGCGCGCAAGGGGGGAGGGCGGGCGCCCUGCCCCCAAGCCCGCUCGGCUUCCCGUUCGUUCCCGUGGCUUCUAGAGUCUUCCAGAUGAUAGAAAAUUGCGCGACACGUUAAUAUCUCUAUGUAAACCCGACGUGUGGGCCUUUCCUCCAUAUUUCCUGAUAACCCCCUGCAGAAAUAGACAAACACCAAAACUCAUCGAAUACUGUCAGAUAAAACCCUAAGUUCGGGUGUUGGUUGCAUUUGGAUCCGUUUCUUUAUUUAUUUGAUGAUUAUAUUUGGUACUUAAGGACCGUCAACAAUAAGCACCCUUUCCGCUGAUGACGAAGAAAGUCGUCGGCAAGGUUUUGCUGCCGAUGGUCAACUCGACACAUAUAGCUCCCUUGACUGGAGACACAUUCCCCUCAAAGUCCUUCAGCAUCAUGUCGGUCUUGGUCAUGUCUUAAUCUCCUUUCUCAAGCUUUCGAUACACUCCAUACGGCAUAAUAUUGAUGGCAUCCCCACCAUCGACUAAUAUCUUGGUCAUUGGCUGCCCAUCAACCCUUCCUUUGACAAACAGAGCUUUAAGAUGCUACCUUUCGUUGUGGGUAGGCUUUUCAAAGAUAGUCGUCAUUGGAUCCACAGCCAACUGAGCUAUCUGGUCAGAAAAGUCCACCUCCUCGUCAUCACUGGACGGCGCAAGGAAUUCCAUUGGCAACAUAAAUACCAUAAUAACAUCUGCCGAUGGCCCUUUUCCUUUAGGAUCUGGCUGCUGCUGACCUUCGAACAUAGCAGAAUUCUCUCCUUUGCUCAGCUCUUCUCGUCUUUCGCGCUGUAGCCUUCUUUUCUGUGUCCUAGUCAGCCCCUCUGGACACCAUGGAGGAAGUUGCGGCUGCCUUACCGAUUGGUGGCGAUUUUCCCUUGAUUCCACUCGAUAAGUAAUAGCAUCCCUGCAAAAUAUGAACUCAUCAGGAACUCACGCAUCCGCCAUCUCUUCAAGCUUGUUGACGGUCCUUAAUGCUCACAUUUAAUUGUCAACUAAUCGUAGAAAAGGAUCCAAAUGCAACCAACACCUAGACUUCCACGAGUUUUGGUGUUUGUCUAUUUGUGUAGGGGGUUAUCAGGAAAUAUGGAAGAAAGGCCCACAUGUCGGGAUUACAUAGAGAUAUUAACAUGCCGCGCAAUUUUCUACCAUCUAGAAGACUCCAGAAGCCACGGGAACGAACGGGGAGGCAAUCGGGCUCCGAGGCAGGGCGCCCGCCCUACUCUCCUGGGCGCCCGCUGUUGGGUAUUGUUAACAUCAUUACCAAAAGUAGACUAAGUUCUCUAAAUCUAGUAACGGUGCCAAAAUGCCAAACCUAUCCCUCACACCACUUAAGCCAAGUUGUCAUCCCCAGCAUGACAUGAGAGACGCGGUAUUGAAAUAUGCAAUUGCUCUUUUAAAUAAAUAAUGAAUGAGAUCUGCAAGCGCACAGAUUAAUACCGAUGUAGCAUUUUAACCGGGAAGUAUUCCAGGUAUCGUUAUUUACAUUUUUACCACUGGGAAGGGAUUAACAAUCAUCAAUAUUGAUUACAGAAUAGAAUAUGAGAUUGAGUAUCUAUCAUUGCAUGUAUAAUUGAGAACAUUUAUCUAACUCUUCAUACAAGGAUAAGUGUCACAUAAAAGAUAUAUGAAAUAAUGAAUAGUGACAAAGAUAAUUAAUCUGAUCAGCCACAUAUAAAUAUGAUAAGCACCUCAAUUAGAUACUCUAGAAAGUCAUUAGCAUGGUAUUAGAACGAACUACAAGAAUAUUCCCUAAGUUAUUAUCAACUAUAUAGUCUAGCAUAUCAUAGUUAGUGCAAGCAUACUUAGCAAUCAUUGCGAGACAAGACUACACCCAUGCACAGUGAUAUUAGCAAGGUAAAUGGGAAACAUAGCAAUCACUCCCCUGUAAUAAUAUUUGUCUGCCAGCCCAAUACACGAGAGGGGGACUAUAUAAGAAUCAAUGAAGUUGUCACUAUCACGAACUACCCCACGAUCUGGCAUAUUGGGUACAAUCGUAGAUAAAUACGGUAUAAGCACCACGCCUACACAAUAUCUAUCAUUUACCCAUGGAUCCGAUGGAUAAACGCUAUACGAUCCUAAGCAUGUAUAUAAAUCCAAUCUAACUAAGCCAAGUACAUAACUAUGAUAAACUAAGAACAAUAUAAUCUUGAAUAUAAGCAAGUAGAGCAAAGUCAUAAGCAAUAUAUUGAAGUACAACAAAGUCAUAUUCAUAAUAUUGAAGAACAAAGAUAAUUAGAAAGUAAUUAGAAGCACAAUUAGAGAAUUACCAAGAAUCCUGUUGACAGAUCCGGAAACCAAUCGAAGAUUGACUCCUUCUAGUUCUAAUCCUAUGUAGCUAUGCUAAUCUAGAUAUCUAAUUGAUGUGGUGGCUCUAAUCUUGAUCAGAGGCUUCUUCUCCCUUGAAGAACAAUGAAUUAGGGUUGAGAGGCUCUCUCCUCUAGGGGCCAGGGGGUCUAGUUUUAUAGUCCCUUCAAGUGAAUAUGGGCCGUUGGAUCAAACCAACAUACAUUGUAUGGUUCAGAUUCAUCCUUUAGGUCGGUGAAGAUCUCCCACGAAGCAGAGUCCUCAUUUGACUCAGGGAGUGGGCGGGCGCCCAGGGGAACAGGGCGGGCGCCCUGCCUCUGGCCCCGUUUCGCCUUCACUUCGGUCUCGUGGCUUCUGGAGUCUUCUAGAUGUAAGAUAAUUGUGCGGUACAUUAAUAUCUCUAUAUAAUCCCGACGUGUGGGCCUUUCUUCCAUAUUUCCUGAUAACCCCCUGCAGAAAUAGACAAACACCAAAACUCGUGGAAUUCUGUCAGAUAAAACCCUAAGUCUAGAUGUUGAUUUCAUUUGGAUCCUUUUCUUUGUUUAUUUGAUAAUUAAAUUUGAUACUUAAGGACCGUCAACAAACUCCCCCAAGCUUACCUCUUGCUCGUCCCUGAGCAAAGAUAGACUCAGCUAUGGAUCAUAAGUUGUCGCAAUAUCUUUAAAAAUUGACGGUACUCAUGCUUUUAAAUAAGAUCUCAUCUCUGAGUUAGAGUAAACUGUCAAGACUUAAAAAUUACUUACUUUAGCUUUACCAUGGUACUUAUAACCGUCACUUCUAUCUUGAGUGGUUAAAAGAUAGAACAGUCUAGUCAAGUGCCAUGUCUCUUAUUCUUGAUCAGCUAUAGCUCUGAAGUUUUUGCAGAUUUUCAAAUAAAACUCAGAGAUUCCUUGUAUGAUUCUCUCAUAUCUCUCUUUUGUGGUAUUUCUAGAUCCUUACCAAGGCAAUAAUGGUAUAUGCCUUCUCUCAAGACAUGUAGUAUUUGUUAUAGAAGGCAUAGUAACAUUGCCUUCUCUCUCACCCUAUUCUAAUAAGGCUUUAAUAUCUGGAGCUCAUAGGUGGGAGAUAAAAUAUACAUACUUACAAGACAUGUAUUGCAUAGUCAAACCAUGGAUCCAAAGAAACAAAUCAAUAAGUCAAAUCAAGAUGUGCAUGUCUGGCGAAUGAAUGGUGUAUGGUGAUGAUGGUGAUAACAAUGGUGAAAAUAAUGGUGAUGGAAGUCUUAUUCUUCUUUUGCUCUUUUGAGGGGAUACAUACCUUUCUUGCUUUUUGAAACUUUGUGAGGAGAAUGAGAUGCUCUAUAUUUUUUUCUUUUCUCUCAGGUGGGUAUCUUGUACCCCUAAUUCUACUGUCGGACACUUGUCCAUUUUUACCUCUUGUCUCACUUUUCUUUUCUUUCGAGGUUCCGAGCACUUGCUCCUUUUUAUUUCCUUGUUUUUUCAGAGCACUCAUCUCUUGAAAUAAUGUAGCAAGUGGUAGUAACAAGAUAACUUGAGCAUUUAUUUCACAAGGGAAAAACAAAAAUAUUUUUGGCUAUUCUCUCCCGGAUUAGGAGUAGAAUAUUUUUAGGUGAUUCUAGAGAUGGAAAUGAGUGGAUAUAUGUGGAUGGUACUUCCGGAGUAGAAGUAGCAUAUAUGAGUGAACAUGCAAGUGAAAACUUGAUUUAACCACAUGACAAGCUCCUAAGGGUCUACACAGCUUGAC
rnacentral:lncRNA from 1 species